CAAAUAUUCAGGUGAACUAUUUUUUAGUGCGGUUUUAGAUUGAAUAAGAAAAUCUACAAAAUCAAUACCCAAGUGGUUAUGCCUAAUUUGACCCUACUCAUUCAAAUAUAGAUAUACAAUAGAUAGCUAACUGAAAGUAACAUGAUGCUUAGAUGCAUGUUCCUCACCCCAAGUGCUAAGAAACAUAAUACUAUUUGCUUGUUAGCCCGGUACAUUCCAUGGUUUCCUCGCAUACUAUUAUACUAAUUAAGGUAUGUCAUGAGAAACAACUUGGAAGAGCCACUUAAUUUUUGGUAAGAUAUACUAAAGUGCGCGCUAAGAAGGAAAAAAUUAAAUAUAAUAUAGAAAUUAAAUAAAUUUAACAACUGGGUCAGGUUGGCUUACAUCAAGUUAGGAUCCAGAUCCAAUCCACUUUCAUGCAGUUUCAUAUUUUUCCAAUUUACAUUAAUCAGUGUGGUUUGUAAAACAGUUUGAACCGGUACGGUUUGAAAAACAGUUUGAACUAGUGCGGUACAAUGCAGUACUGCAUCACCUGUGUGUCAUGACUGGCUAUGCCUAAUUUAAACGAAUCCUCUUCUCAUAUUGCCUAAUUUGACCUUACAAAACGUCGCUUGACAAGGAAAAACCAGCAACAAGCAUUGGCCAAACAACGAUCAAUGGCCCCCUUCUCACUCCACAACAACAACUCUUCAUGACUACGUUUUCUCAUAAUUGGUCCUCUCCCUGGUUCGUCGCUGACUUCGAGUUCGAUCGCCGCUAAGGGAGGCGCGCUCGAAGUCCCCCGACAUAGUCGAAUUGUGUUUUGCGUCGUCGUUUUAGAGCGAAUUUUGAAUCGGUUCUUUCAUUGAUAUGGAUCCUAAGUAUGACACAAAUGCAUCAAUCACAACUUUGGCCUUUUCAUCGCCAUUCCUAUCUCUUCCUCUUUAAUUUUGUAGCUUUGAUUUACAUUCUUCUUUGUAUGAUUGUUUGAUCACAGUUUCUUUAUAUGUGCAAGUUCAAGAAAUCAUUCUCUCCCAUUUACAAGAGAUAGUAUCUAGGUCUUCCCAGAUAGUGUAGUUUUGUGAUGUGUGUUUUGCUUUCUCUGUGUUCAAUUACAUGAUUCUCCGUUACAAUAUGUCUUUCAAUGAGUUAUGAGAUACUAUGUCUUUUAUUAUCGUCGAGUUUUGGCAUUGGCAGUGGUCCAGGUCGCCUGAGGGAACAAAACGGUUGCAAGCAGUUCUAAGCGAUUAUGUCACGUUAUCUCUUUGGUGGAGAAACAGUAAACCGACCUCUUUUUAUGGGAGUGGAAAAGUUGUUGGUUACAAACAGUUGUUGCGGUACUGUUGUCAUCUAAUCUAUUGCUCUAGGCUGGAGAGACAAAUGGGCUUUCGUAAUCUAGCCCAGUUUUAAUUAUGUGUGUUGAUGUUUGGUUAGUUCGGUCCACCUGAUCUUCGUUGGUGAGCGAAAUUCAUUUCAAAGUAUCAACGUCAUCUUUGAUUGUUUGAACUCAUCAAUAGAACAUUUCUCAAUUUCGUGUUUCGGCUUUGGUUGUGUUUCAUUGUUCUAGGUGGUGCUCUUUCCUCAGUUCGAGUUUUCCACUAGGAUUUAUCUGAGCAAGGUUUUAGUGAGGCCACCUUUGAGAAGAAAUGAAAACAUUUUCCACUUCUACUGGUUGUUGCAGUACAAUUGUCAUCUAAUCCAUUGCUCUGGGUUAGAGAAACAAAUGGGCUUUCGUAAUCUAGUCCAGUUUUAAACUUUUAAUUAAGUGUGUUGAUUUUUGGUUAGUCUGGUCCACCUAAUCUUUGUUGGCGAGCAGAAUUCAUUUCAGAGUCUUAACACCGUCUUUAAGCGUUUGAACUCAUCAAUAUAACAUUUCGUGUUUCGGCUUUGGUUGUGUUUCAUUGUUGUAGGUGGUUCUUUUUCCUCGGUUCGAGUUUUCCACUAGGAUUUAUUCGAGCAAAGUUCUAGUGAGGCCACAUUUGAGAAGAAGUGAAGACAUUUUCCACUUUUUCCGUUUUGGUUCUAAGUAUGAACUCUAGUGAAGGCUAUAGGUAGCGCAUGUGCGCCUUUGUUCUUUUCUUUCAUCAAUGGGUUUGGAUUGUCGUUAUUGACUCUCCCGUGCUUAUGUCUUGUAAAUCUUAUCUUGUGAUGUAAUAUUUUUUUCAUAUGAAUAAAGUUUCACACAUCCUUUAAAAAAAAAUUUAAUAAAUAAAAACCGUCCUACACUGUUGAGGAGAAAUUAGGUAACUAGUCUCGGUUUUCAGUUCUAUGCAUGGAGAAUCGGUUCCUACCAAAUGAACCGAGAAUUAUUGGGGACUUAGCUUUCAUACGGCAGGCUCUCACACACUUGAUUCUCUCAUCGAUAACCUAGUUUAACGAAUGUCUCCCGUUCAGCCUCCAUUCUCUUCACUCUUCACUCUUCAGCACUGUCUCAACGUUUUCACUCUUUUGAAUUACUGUCGGUGUUUCUGACACGACCCACCCGAAUUUCACCCUGAAACCCAGAGUAAGUCGUGCGGGGACCACCUCCAAGGAAAAUUUACUGAAAAGAUUAAGAAAAUCUCCCUUGCAGAUGGACAACCCUAACUCGAAAAUUUCAUAUUACACUCUUAAUUUAACGCUUCUGAAUAUCACAUAAUAUACAAAAUUCUAAAGUAUUCAGAGCUACUAAACACAAGCGGAAGCAAGAAAACACAAGUAGGUUGAACAGGUAACCUACUGAUGAAAACUGGCCGAAAAGCGGGUGACUAUGCCUCGUCUCCUACUAGAUCCAACCCGAACUUUGCAGACUGGGCAAUUUAAAACGAAGGGCCCAGGGGAAAACAUUUAAUAACGUUAGAGUGAGUGGACAAAAAUAAAUUAAUAAUUAAAAUAUUUAUGUUUCCCCAAAUUAAUUUCUAAGGAAAAAUCGAAUGCAUGCCGUAAGCNNNNNNNNNNNNNNNNNNNNNNNNNNNNNNNNNNNNNNNNNNNNNNNNNNNNNNNNNNNNNNNNNNNNNNNNNNNNNNNNNNNNNNNNNNNNNNNNNNNNNNNNNNNNNNNNNNNNNNNNNNNNNNNNNNNNNNNNNNNNNNNNNNNNNNNNNNNNNNNNNNNNNNNNNNNNNNNNNNNNNNNNNNNNNNNNNNNNNNNNNNNNNNNNNNNNNNNNNNNNNNNNNNNNNNNNNNNNNNNNNNNNNNNNNNNNNNNNNNNNNNNNNNNNNNNNNNNNNNNNNNNNNNNNNNNNNNNNNNNNNNNNNNNNNNNNNNNNNNNNNNNNNNNNNNNNNNNNNNNNNNNNNNNNNNNNNNNNNNNNNNNNNNNNNNNNNNNNNNNNNNNNNNNNNNNNNNNNNNNNNNNNNNNNNNNNNNNNNNNNNNNNNNNNNNNNNNNNNNNNNNNNNNNNNNNNNNNNNNNNNNNNNNNNNNNNNNNNNNNNNNNNNNNNNNNNNNNNNNNNNNNNNNNNNNNNNNNNNNNNNNNNNNNNNNNNNNNNNNNNNNNNNNNNNNNNNNNNNNNNNNNNNNNNNNNNNNNNNNNNNNNNNNNNNNNNNNNNNNNNNNNNNNNNNNNNNNNNNNNNNNNNNNNNNNNNNNNNNNNNNNNNNNNNNNNNNNNNNNNNNNNNNNNNNNNNNNNNNNNNNNNNNNNNNNNNNNNNNNNNNNNNNNNNNNNNNNNNNNNNNNNNNNNNNNNNNNNNNNNNNNNNNNNNNNNNNNNNNNNNNNNNNNNNNNNNNNNNNNNNNNNNNNNNNNNNNNNNNNNNNNNNNNNNNNNNNNNNNNNNNNNNNNNNNNNNNNNNNNNNNNNNNNNNNNNNNNNNNNNNNNNNNNNNNNNNNNNNNNNNNNNNNNNNNNNNNNNNNNNNNNNNNNNNNNNNNNNNNNNNNNNNNNNNNNNNNNNNNNNNNNNNNNNNNNNNNNNNNNNNNNNNNNNNNNNNNNNNNNNNNNNNNNNNNNNNNNNNNNNNNNNNNNNNNNNNNNNNNNNNNNNNNNNNNNNNNNNNNNNNNNNNNNNNNNNNNNNNNNNNNNNNNNNNNNNNNNNNNNNNNNNNNNNNNNNNNNNNNNNNNNNNNNNNNNNNNNNNNNNNNNNNNNNNNNNNNNNNNNNNNNNNNNNNNNNNNNNNNNNNNNNNNNNNNNNNNNNNNNNNNNNNNNNNNNNNNNNNNNNNNNNNNNNNNNNNNNNNNNNNNNNNNNNNNNNNNNNNNNNNNNNNNNNNNNNNNNNNNNNNNNNNNNNNNNNNNNNNNNNNNNNNNNNNNNNNNNNNNNNNNNNNNNNNNNNNNNNNNNNNNNNNNNNNNNNNNNNNNNNNNNNNNNNNNNNNNNNNNNNNNNNNNNACCGCUCACUCACGGCGGCGCUAGGGGGGCUGCUACCGGUCUAGAAAUGUUGCUGGGAGGGAGACCGAUCGAUUGGGACCGGUGUGGCGGUCUGGGGCGGCCGGACGGCGGCGGACGGCGGUGGAGAACUUUCCGGGUGGAGAAAGGAGAAAACCGGGUGGGAAGAGAAGAAAAAUCGGGAGGGAGAGAGAGAGAAAGGAAGAAGAAAUGGGUUGGGCUCGGCCCAGCCGACCCAACUCUCCUUUUAACCCAAAAUUCUAAAAUUCAACACCCCGAAAAAUAAUACCCGAAUAAAAAUUACCUUUUACUAGCUAAAAUUUACUAUUUUUACCGUCGUCGUAUUUUCUUCAUACUAAUAAUCCUCCGCACAUAAUCGUCCCCGAAACCCCUCUAGGGACCAAUUAAACUAUUUACUCAAUGACGGAGACGGUAAAAUUCUUAUUAUAAUCACGCUAGUAAAUAAGGUAAAAAUAUAAGGGUCGGGAUGUGACAGUUUCAUCAUUCAUACGUUUCACGAAUGGCUCGAACACAGCUUGGCCCCCAUUGAUUCCUGUUUCUUCGGCUUCUUUCUCUUCAGCUUCUAGGACCCCUUAUACGGUCAGUUCUUCUUUUCCUUCUUCUGAAUUCUAUUACUUGUUUUUUCUUUCUUAAGUUUGUUUUCAGUCUUCUGCAUACUUUUCAGUUUGCUUUUAAAUUUUCUGUUCUGGGUUUGAUGAUGAAAACGUGCUCUCUUCUUUUAUGCUUAUUAAUACGUAUUGCCAAUUUCUACCUACAUUGCUUUGUGUCUUUUUGAAAAGUUAUGGAAUCAACCGGCAGUACGAGUUCGCAAAGUUCAAGCUCUGUUCCAAAUGUUCCAGACCCAGAUCAUUCGGAGCAAUCUUUACACCCUACAUUACGGGUUGCACCUGAACCAGAACAUGUAGGCAACUCAUCCUAUAAGAGACAGAAAAGAUGUCUAGCUUGGCCACAUUACACAAUGAUGAAGAAGGAGGAUGGUGCGACUGAUAGGACUGAUAAAGCCAUCUGCAACUAUUGUGGUACCUCCAUAAGUUGUGACUCUAGGAGGAACGGAACCAGUGGCCUCACGAAACAUCUUAAGAAGGUCUGCAAGAAAUUCCCGUUAUGUGAGAAAAUCCCAUUGCGUGAGAAACGUGACAAAAGGCAAAGGACCUUGGCUUUUCAGAAGACUGAAGAUGGACUUCAGUUGGUGCCAUUUGAAUCUAAUCAAGACAAAAGGCAGAGGAACUUGUACUCCAAAAAUGGUUGAAGCAUUGGUUUGAUGUUGUGAUUGGUCAAGGAAUGAAGGUUUUAUAAUGAGUUGGAGGAAGUUGAGCGUGGUAAAAAAUCUAAGCUUCGGUCAAAGGCAUUUUAUCUUUGGUUUAUUCUGUCAACUUAUUUGUGUUCUAAUAAUUAUGUUACUUUUUUAUGCUUUCAGAAAUAGAGAAACUUCAAUUGACAGAUCACCUAAGCCAAUCACAGCAGUUAGCUAAUGUACAAAUUCAGGUAUGCUUCCGUAACCAAGUGAUUUUUUUUUUGUGGUAGACAAUUGAUAGCCAUGGCAUCAGAGAUGAGCUAGGGCUUGAAGAAAAGAGAAUAGAGUUUGAGAGAGAAACGAACAGAGAGGAAAAUCUCAGAAAUGAAAAAUGCUUCAAUACAGAAAGCUUGGUUACAAAGCAAAGUGUCUUCAGCUAUUAUACAAGAAAGGAGCUAACCAACUAACUAAAAAGAACAGCUGGAUUUUGCUGUAAUAAGAGCCACGUGACUCACUCAGAUUUGAGGCUUCUAGAAUCUGUUAAAAUUAACUAACAGCUAGGUCAACAUAUUUUUACAGUAUAGUCAACACCCUCCCUCAAGCUCAGCUAGGGAUACUAGCCUGAGAUUGAUACAGUGAGUUUUGAAAAUAGGAGAUGCCAAACCCUUUGUCAAAAUGGCAGCAGUCUGUUCUGUGGUGGAAAUAUACUCAAGACGAAGAUCAUUGCGCUGAACCCUUUCACGAACAAAAUGAAAGUCAUUGUCUAAAUGCUUGAUCUUGGAGUGAAAGACUGGAUUAGAAGCUAAUGCCAAAGCAGACAAGUUGUCACAUUUAAGCAAAGGGGCACAGGGAAUUUGAAUCUUCAAAUCACAAAGAAGAUGUCUGAUCCAACUAAUCUCAGCUGCAGUAUUUGCAAGACUCNNNNNNNNNNNNNNNNNNNNNNNNNNNNNNNNNNNNNNNNNNNNNNNNNNNNNNNNNNNNNNNNNNNNNNNNNNNNNNNNNNNNNNNNNNNNNNNNNNNNNNNNNNNNNNNNNNNNNNNNNNNNNNNNNNNNNNNNNNNNNNNNNNNNNNNNNNNNNNNNNNNNNNNNNNNNNNNNNNNNNNNNNNNNNNNNNNNNNNNNNNNNNNNNNNNNNNNNNNNNNNNNNNNNNNNNNNNNNNNNNNNNNNNNNNNNNNNNNNNNNNNNNNNNNNNNNNNNNNNNNNNNNNNNNNNNNNNNNNNNNNNNNNNNNNNNNNNNNNNNNNNNNNNNNNNNNNNNNNNNNNNNNNNNNNNNNNNNNNNNNNNNNNNNNNNNNNNNNNNNNNNNNNNNNNNNNNNNNNNNNNNNNNNNNNNNNNNNNNNNNNNNNNNNNNNNNNNNNNNNNNNNNNNNNNNNNNNNNNNNNNNNNNNNNNNNNNNNNNNNNNNNNNNNNNNNNNNNNNNNNNNNNNNNNNNNNNNNNNNNNNNNNNNNNNNNNNNNNNNNNNNNNNNNNNNNNNNNNNNNNNNNNNNNNNNNNNNNNNNNNNNNNNNNNNNNNNNNNNNNNNNNNNNNNNNNNNNNNNNNNNNNNNNNNNNNNNNNNNNNNNNNNNNNNNNNNNNNNNNNNNNNNNNNNNNNNNNNNNNNNNNNNNNNNNNNNNNNNNNNNNNNNNNNNNNNNNNNNNNNNNNNNNNNNNNNNNNNNNNNNNNNNNNNNNNNNNNNNNNNNNNNNNNNNNNNNNNNNNNNNNNNNNNNNNNNNNNNNNNNNNNNNNNNNNNNNNNNNNNNNNNNNNNNNNNNNNNNNNNNNNNNNNNNNNNNNNNNNNNNNNNNNNNNNNNNNNNNNNNNNNNNNNNNNNNNNNNNNNNNNNNNNNNNNNNNNNNNNNNNNNNNNNNNNNNNNNNNNNNNNNNNNNNNNNNNNNNNNNNNNNNNNNNNNNNNNNNNNNNNNNNNNNNNNNNNNNNNNNNNNNNNNNNNNNNNNNNNNNNNNNNNNNNNNNNNNNNNNNNNNNNNNNNNNNNNNNNNNNNNNNNNNNNNNNNNNNNNNNNNNNNNNNNNNNNNNNNNNNNNNNNNNNNNNNNNNNNNNNNNNNNNNNNNNNNNNNNNNNNNNNNNNNNNNNNNNNNNNNNNNNNNNNNNNNNNNNNNACAAGANGGAAAGAAAGUAGCAGAAUCAAUGGGAGAAGACACUGAAAACUUGGAAUUAUGAAACGGAAAAACACUUUCAUCAUGAAUCACAUGUCGUGACAUCCAAAGUUUAUUUUGAGAAAUACUGUAACAAAAGACUCCCUUAUAACCUAAGACAUAACCCAAGAAGACACACUGUGUUGUUCUAGGGUCCAAUUUAUCAUGAGCAUAUGGUCUGAGAUAUGGAUAACAUGAGGAGCCAAAGGUUUUCAGUUGAGUAAUAUCUGGAGGUUUAUGAAAUAAAAGCUCAUAUGGAGAGGACAUGUUCAAAGAUUUGCUAGGCAUUCUGUUAAUGAGAUAACAUGAAUGAGCAACACUAUGGAACCAAAAAUUUUUAGGAACACCAGCUGUAGACAUUAAAGAGAUUGCAGUCUCUAUGAUAUGUCUGUUCUUCCUCUCAGCAACUCCAUUUUGCUGAGGAGUAUAAGGACAGGAAAUUUGAUGUAAAAUACCUUCUGAAGAAAGAAAAUUAUGGAAGGCCUUACUAUUAAAUUCACCACCUCCAUCCGUCUAAAACAAUUUGAUUGUUGAAUGGAAUUGAUUUUCAACAAAAGCACAGAAAUGAAUAAAUUUGGCAAGAACAUCAGAUUUAUUGAUAAGUGGAAAAAUCCACAUAAACUUCGUACAAUCAUCUAUGAAAGUAAGAUAGUACUUGUGUCCCUCAAUGGACAGACAAGGAGCUGGUCCCCAUACAUCAGAAUGUACCUUAGUAAAGGGUACAGAAGUUUUUGUUUCAGAAUCAGAAAAUGGGAGUCUGUGCAUCUUGCCUUCUAAACAAUAAGAACACACUGAACUGGAAACGGAACUAGGAAUUUUUAUUUGUGACCUAGAUAACAUUUGGGACAUAAUAGGUUGAGAAGGAUGACCUAAUCUUUGAUGCCAUACUGGAAGGGAAGAAGCUGAACUGACAAAAGCAGAUGGAUAAGGUUGAGAAAUGGAAGAUACUGGUGGAGACUUGAAUAGGAACAAUCCUUCCUCACUACUCUUUCCUUGGUAAAGCACUGUUUUGGAUGCCUUGUCCUGCACAGCAAUAUUAGCUUCAUCAAGAGUUAUAAAGCAAUCAUUAUCUCUACAUAACUUGGUAAAAGAUAACAAGUUGAUUGCUAAAUCAGGAACAUGCAGAACUUGCUUCAACUGUAAGAUAUGAUUAGCAAGUUUUAUAUAACCAGAACCAGUGUGUGCUACACUUAAACCUGCACCAUUACCAAUGGUUAUCUUGUUGUCAGAAGCAUAUGGCUGAGCAAUGGUGAGNNNNNNNNNNNNNNNNNNNNCAACUUUACUAUCCCAUGCUUUCUCAUUACUAUCUCUGUCUCCAUUCCUUGUACCAUCUCCUCUAGCCACCAUAGCACUCAUAUUAGGUAGAAGAGAAAAACUUCCUUCAAUCCUCCUUUCUGCUGCAAGUAAUUGAGACCUCAAAUCUCUUAGAGAAAUAGGUGUUUCUCUUCCUUCAAUCACAGUCCUGACAGUUGAAUACUCAUCAGGAAGGCCAUUCAAAACAACAAUGAUGAUAUCUUCAUCUGGAAUAGACACUCCCACAGACAAAAGCUGAUCCCUAGCAUUCUUUACUCUCUGCAAAUACUUCUCAAUUGUUUCACUUCCCUUGCGAAGAGUCUGCAACUCAGUUUUAAGUUGCAUAAUGCUCACUCUUGAUACAGCAGAAAAGCGUUCCUGAAGAGCUAUCCAAGCUUGUCUGGAAGUUUUACACCCAAUGAUUACAUCAACAAUAUCUUCAUCUAAAGUAGCCAUCAGCAGACUGAUUAAUGCCAUAUCUGUUUGUUUCCAAGCUUUGUACGCUGCAGUCUCUUCAUUAGUAACUUCUCCUUCAGAGGUAAGGGCAUACCUAGGAGGAGCUACUUCUGUGGCAUCAUAGAAUCCAAACAAUCCAUUUCCAGCAAGAGUGGACUGGAAUUGAAAACUCCAUUUGAUGAAGUUUCUUUCUCCAAGUCUCAUAGUAAUGAUACUUAACAAAGAGUGAACAUCUCUGUGAGAAAGGCUAGGAGUAGCAACAGUAGAAUUUGUUGUAUCACCUUGAGGAGCCAUUUAAAAUCAGUCUGCAAGUGUUUCACUACCAAAUUAAUUUCUGAGAUUUACUAGUUUUCACAAACCACCACAAAGAGGCCACUACAAAUUUUUCUUCACUAUAUGCACACUUCAGUUUAGUAUAUGUGCUCAAAUCAACUGCUCUCAACCUUAUAAUUGUUCUCAACCUUCUACAUACACCAUACAGCUAUAAAGAUCACACCUUUACUCUAUUUUGGCUCAAUCACUUAGAAAUCUGCUCAAAAUUUACUCCGAUUUACUCUAUUUGCUCAAGAAUUACUCAAGAACUCAAAUACACAAAGAUUUCACUCUGAUUUUGGCUCAAUCACUUAGAAAUCUGCUCAAGAUUUACUCUAGAUGCUCCAAAUUUACUCCGAUUUACUCUACUUCCUCAAGAAUUACUCAUAACUCAAACAAUCACAGAUUCCACAAAGAUUUACGCACACAAGUAUAUCAUAUAUCUUCAAAGAUCUAGAACAAGAGAAGAUCACCUGAAGAAAGACGAGUGAGCCUUAGAAGCUUCAAAACACACUGAAGGAGAGCAGAUCACGCUUUGAUGAAAAAAAAAAUCAAAGCCUCAAAUCCAAGAUCCAAAGCAAAUCGCAGUAGAGCCAAAGCAAGAUCUGAAGAUACAAACGAAAGCACAAUUAGAAAUGAGUGCGGAAGCAUGAAUCACAGGUCCUGGAUCUAUGGACGCUCUGAUACCAUGAUAGCCAUGGCAUCAGAGAUGAGCUAGGGCUUGAAGAAAAGAGAAUAGAGUUUGAGAGAGAAACGAACAGAGAGGAAAAUCUCAGAAAUGAAAAAUGCUUCAAUACAGAAAGCUUGGUUACAAAGCAAAGUGUCUUUAGCUAUUAUACAAGAAAGGAGCUAACCAACUAACUAAAAAGAACAGCUGGAUUUUGCUGUAAUAAGAGCCACGUGACUCGCACAGAUUUGAGGCUUCUAGAAUCUGUUAAAAUUAACUAACAGCUAGGUCAACAUAUUUUUACAGUAUAGUCAACAACAAUGUCCUAAUUACUGAUGUGUUUCUUUUUAUUUCAAUAAUGAUUGCCAAGUUAAAUAUGAUAACCAAGCUGAUCAUUAUAUUUUCCUGGCCAAAGUUUCCAUGUAAGGACUAUGUACUUGAUUACGAACCAGUGCAAGGAAACUAUGUGCAAUGUGGAUGUGCUAUGAAAUUAUUAAGUUCGUUAAAAGAUUGGCCUUUGGAUGUACUGGUUUUCUGUUUCAAUGACUAAAUAUAUGCGGUAACCUGCUCUGAACAGUUGGGAAUGGCCAAUGCACCUUGAAACUUAUGUGUAGCUUUGAUCAAAAACAGUACCUGCAAAAUAUAAGAAGCUGCAACUUUGAUUAUAGGCUGUUUGUUACAGCAUUACAUCUUUGAUUAGCUGUUAUGGGAACUGAAUUAUGUCCUUUCUUGUCCUCAUCGCAGUUGCUAGAGCUGAUGACCAAUCUCAGGAGGUGCCCAUUAAUCUGUAGGCUGGUUGCUUAUUAUUAGUUGUGUUGUAACUUGAUGUAUACUUAUUAUGCAUUUGCUGGAGGUAACUUGUUUGAAGAAUUGAACUUGAAGUUUACUUUUCUAUUUUGUUCCUUUUAUUUUCUUUGGUAAACUGUGAAAACUGAUUACAUCAGUUGUUACUUAAACAGAAAUGGCAUUGAAAUCGACCGAGGUAGUUCGACUAAUGAGAUUGAUUCCCAUUUAUUUUUUUUCAGUUUCAGUUUUGAAAAAUAGAAAAUCGAAGUCUUCGGUUCAGUUAUCGGUUAGUGCCCUACUACCGAAUUGAUGACAUCGAGUCUUGAUUGUGUAUAUCAAGCAUGAACAUAUACGAUUAACAGUAAUGUUCCAACAAACCAUCACAGCUGGUUGAGUUGGUAAGAGCCUAGAUGUGGAACCCCCAUAUCCAGGUUCGAAUCCUCAAGGUUCCACACCUAGGUUCGAAUCCCAACCGACAUUAAUUGGAGUUAAAUCCUAAUUUAUUCUUGGUGGCCAGGGGGAGGAAGCGUUCUGACAUGAUCUCUCAUGACGGAUUAGUCUCUGGGUCUAAAAAGUCUAUGAGGAUACCGUCGUUCAUACUCUCAAAAAAAAAAAAAAAAAAAAAAACCGGUAAAUGAUCCAACAUGACUAAAGAUUUUUGUGGUCGCAUUUCUUUUACUUUUCUAGGUUGUAGUUAUAGCCUAUAAUUCCCUUCUACUACUUUCCUUCCCAACCAUAACCGCAAACACUCACUUUCUGCACGGUUAAAAUGCCAUUUUCUGAUUCUGAUAUCCAAGAAAAGUUCCACAAAUAAAAACCAAAGGCAGAUUUUGUCCAAAAGAAGAAAAUCAACAAAGGAACACAUUAUAAGCUAGAGUGUGAGGUAAAUUCUACCCGGUACACAAAAAUAUAAAAGAAAUAUAGUCUAAUCUGCCACUUAUUCCAAUUAAAUCACAUUUCAUACUCUCAGUAACAGUGAUUUCUAAAACAAAUGAGUUUAUACAACACUUAAUAGAACGUAAGGUAGACAAACAAUACCAAGCAAACUCAAAGUCCACACUCCAACAUUACAUACAAUUCCUAAAAAUAAUCCAUUGGACGUAAAAUUUGUUGUUCUCAAGAGAUGAUCCAUAAUUCAAAAGGCACCUAACCAAUGAAGGAAUAUAUGCUUCUCCACCGCACUUCAUUCUCCUUCACUUAGAAUGGGGACUAUUAGUGGUUUCAUUUGUGCAAUAUAUACAAUCGCCCACCUGAAAAAGUAACAAAAAAAAAUAAAACAUCUUAUGUAUGAUGACCAGAAAGAUUGGGAAGAAACAAAAAAACACACACACACACACACACGCACAAAGACACUGAAAGAUCAAUUGCAAAGGCUCAUGCAGUAUCAGAGCAAACAUAAACAACAUAUAGAGGCACCAAUUCAUUAUAAUUCUAUAUUGUAGUUAAGUGCUCAUAUGGAAGGAUGACUCUAUUAUGCAUUACAAAUUUCAUCAAGAACAAAAAAUGGACUUUCCUUUAGCCCUGAAACAUACGUGCAGUUACCAUAUGCAGGACAACUAAGGCAGUUACUUGGUGAUGUCAAUUGAAAUGGAAGGAGACUCUUCUUCCUGCUUUGAAUGAUGACAGUGCAACUCAAUACUACAAGGCCACAUAUUCUCAUUACCAGUAGUAGGUUGGUUGAUAAAUGAGCUUGUUAUGAACCCUCUAGGGCCGAAGUGGAUUGGUCAACUUAAAAGCUUGAUAAAUGAGCUCUACAAUAUUAUUCAAUUUCUCCUCUACUCAUACAAACAAUUUGUUGACAAUUUAGUUGAGGAUAAAACGAAAAUUCAACUAAUUAAGCAAAAAUGGUGGAUCUGGAAUGAGAUCCUUUUCUCUAGAUUGAAACACUGAAGGCUUAAAACACAGCUUACACGGAAGAGAGCAAAUAUCUAACCCGAAAAUUCUCAUUCACACAUUACAAUAUAAAUGUGGCAAAACAUACUAUGAUACACAACCAAUUGAUUCAUCCUAAAUCUCAUUAUUCAUAUGAAACGAAAAAAUAUAUAAACAUGAUAGAGAAGAACUUACAUCAUCCAACAGCAGACUGUAGCUGUAAUAACUAACGUUAAAUGGAAUCUGCACAAGAAAAUACAGUUCAGUACUUUCCACAUGGCAAAAGAAGGAUAUCACACUCUCGACAAGGAUGCAUCACACUGAAACUAUAUAUUAUUUUUAUACACUGAUUCAAUAACUGAAUCAAUCAAUCCAUAAUCUCAACCUACUUUACUGUUAGAUGAACACACAUGACUGGACUGGCAAUCUAUGAUUGAUGGUCUUAAUAGAUACAUAUAAACCGCCAUGUCAAGGACGCAAUCAAAUCAAGCAUAUCAAUAACCACAGUACCAACUAAACAGAAAGUUCCCAAUAUAAAAAAAGGCCAAGGCUAACAUAAUUUAAGAGAACUGCAUAGUAUGAAGAGCUUAACUUGAGCCAAUUUACUUGAAACAUAAAAGCUCCCACUGAUUCUAUAUUGAAAUCCAUGAGAAAAUGACACGAAUCGGAUCCUAAGCUCCCCAAACAACAUAACCUUAUGGCAUUAUUGUGACCUCCAACACCAUCAAAUUUAGCAGAAUUGAAAAAUGCAGAGAGAGAUAAGACUUACAGAUUAGUAGAGGGUCCUCUGUUGCAGCAAAUUCUGGUACACAGAGACGCAAUGAUCCCAACCACAACGAAAAUCAAGCUCGUCACGAAAAACCCCAUGCUGGAUUUCUCUCCGAUCUUGAUCCACACAAUCAGGAACACCUCAGCUUCUGCAAUUCAAUACAAAAACACCAUUUAAAUUCUAUUUAGGGUUUAAACCUUCGAAGAUCAGGAAAAUUCAGAAUGAAACAGAAAUUAUUGAAACCUACCGUUCUGGAGAAAUUGUGGGAAAUAAGAUUAAAAGAAGAGAAAAAUGAUGGGGAUCUUGAUCGAUUUCGAUUUUGAGUUUUGUGCAAUUUGCUUCGUCUUGGAUUCAUUCCAAGGAUAUAAGGAAAAAACCAAUUCGGACCUUGAUUUAGAGCAAACAUCAUUUGGACCAAAACUGGGCUUGUGUGUAUGGAUAGUUUGCAGAAAGCCCAAAUUCAAAAAUCCGCGAUAAUUGCAACUUUUUUUUUUUCUUUCCCUUUUGGGUUCCUAGAAUAUUAGGCAGUAGGGAUACGGAUGGCCAUGGUGAGGGUAGAAUCAAGGAAUCAAAGCUCAUACCCUGUUUUAUUAGUGAGAUUUGAACUCAUGAUCUUAACAUUGUCGGUUAGACUACCUAACCAACAAAGUCAUGUCUUACCGACAAAUGCCCAUAUCCUGUUUCAUUCUCAAUCCUAGCUGCAGGGUGGUUCUAGAUUUUUAGUUACACUUCCCAAUUUGCUCUAAAGUUUUGUAAACUUUUAUUUCCUUUUAGGAGUAAAAUUGGAAACUCAGUCGGCCACUACUCGUUUACCAUUGCGUCACAAUCGGCAUGUUGCAACCGAAAACUCUCGAAACAAAAACAGCAGAAUAUAUGUUGAAUAGCUAUUAAGGCCGCACUCACCCUAAGAGCAAUUGCACCCGUAGGCAAAAAACAAUUGCUGAUUUGCCAAUUGAAUUGCCCUUGUCAAUUCACUAUUCAUCCCAAAUUGGCAAUUGCCUCUCCUUUAUCAAUGCACCCGUUGAAAGCAAUUUACAUGCUAAUUCAUUAUUACAUUUUAGUUUUGAAUAACUUAUUAAUUGAAAAUGUUAAACUUAUAAUUUGAUUAAUUAAUAAUGUGAUUAAUUGUACAACAAUCAUUAUUGUUAAACUAAUUAUUAAUUAAUGUUUUAAUAAAUUAUCAAAUAUCUUAUGAUUUCUGAUAAGAUAUUCGUCCAAUCUUCACUUGACACGUGUCAACUUCAGAUACCAUUAUCUUCUAGAAAUAUAUCUCGGAUAUUUGAUAAGAUUUUCAACCUAUCUUUACGUGACACGUGUACUUAUCCGAAACUUUUUAUCUCCAAAAUUGUUGAUAAAUAACCUUCAAACUUCAUUCUCUACUCACACAUUUCCUCUCAUUCUACCUUCAUCUCUUUUGAAAUAUCAUCACUCAUCCUAUUCUCCUCUUUUUAAUUGAUGAAUUAAACAAGUGGUUGUUAGAAAAGGGAUCGUGAAAAUAUGGAGGUGCUGGAGCGAAUUCAAGCUACAAACUCUCAAGCGGUUUCAUUAGUGGCGUAAUAUCAACUAGAACAGACACCUAGAGGGCGUGGUUCAUGACUUGGUCGUGUGCCAAAUGUGGAGAGACACAAAGAAGUCUGAGGUCAAUUCCUCCUGCAUGAUUAUUUUGUUGAACGUCCAGUGUAUGACGAAGCAAGCUUUCGGAGGCGGUACCGAAUGCAUAAACAUGUCUUCCAACGCAUAAUGGAGGAUCUUUGCAACCACGACAGUUUUUGGAGGCAAAAAUCAGAUGCCACUGGAAAAAUGGGAUUGCUUCCUGAACAAAAGAUGACAGGUGCCCUGAGAAUGCUCGCGUACGGUGCAGCUGCUGAUCAAUGUGAUGAAAUCACUCAAAUGGGAACUUCUACAACACUGAAAUGUCUGAAGAAAUUUUACAGACAUAUCGAGUUUCUGUACGGUGAGUGGUUCAUUCGUCCUCCCAAUUAUUCUGACUUAUAUAGGCUUCUCAAUAGAGGACAACGUCGCAGGUUUCCAGGCAUGAUUGAGAGCAUCGAUUGUAUGCAUUGGGAGUGGAAAAACUGCCCAACCGGCUGGGUUGGAGCUUACUCGGGUCGUAAGGGAAGACCAACUAUAAUUUUGGAAGCAGUGGCGUCUUACGACACACAUAUAUGGCACGCUUUCUUCGGAACUCCUAGAGCAAAAAAUGACCUCAACGUUCUUGGUGCGUCUAAUGUGUUCGAGCAUGUCAUAGGUGGAACUGCUCCUCAGGUUCAAUUUGAGGUCAACAACAAAAGGUACACCAAUGGUUACUACCUUGCUGAUGGAAUAAUUUACCCUAAGUGGUCUAUUUUUGUCAAAACAAUAUCGAACCCCAAAACAAAACAGGAGAAGCACUUUUGAUAAAAAACAAGAGGCUUACCGCAAAGAUGUGGAGCGAUGCUUUGGUAUCAUCCAAUCACGAUGGGCGAUAUUGCGCCACAGUGCUAGAUUGUUUAAACUAGAAGAUCUUCGAGCCAUCAUGAUAAGUCGUAUCAUUUUUCAUAACAUGAUUGUGGAGGAUGAAUUUGUCGAAGAAGAAUUUGUGGAGCCUGAAGAAUUUGUGAAAAUGUGUGAGUAGAGAAUGAAGUCUGAAGGUUAUUUAUCAACAAUUUUGGAGAUAAAAACUUUCGGAUAAGUACACAUGUCACGUAAAGAUAGGUUGGAAAUCUUAUCAAAUAUCCGAGAUAUAUUUCUAAAAGAUAAUGGUAUCUGAAGUUGACACGUGUCAAGUGAAGAUUGGACGAAUAUCUUAUCAGAAAUCAUAAGAUAUUUGACAAUUUAUUAAAACAUUAAUUAAUAAUCUGUUUAACAAUAAUGAUUGUUGUACGAUUAAUCAAAUUAUUAAUUAAUCAAAUUAUAAGUUUAACAUUUUCAAUUAAUAAGUUAUUCAAAAUUAAAAUGUAAUAAUGAAUUAACAUGUAAAUUGUCUUCAACAUGUGCAUUGAUAAAGAAGAGGCAAUUGCCAAUUUGGGAUGAAUAGUGAAUUGACAAGGGCAAUUCAAUUGGCAAAUCAGCAAUUGCCUUUUGCCUACGGGUGCAAUUGCUCUAAAAGAACUGAUAUGUGAUCGAACCGGCUUGGAGGUAGGUUUACUACCUCCGAAUGUUCAAAGAGAUCCUGCCAAGAACGCGUACCAAAUGCUGGGUCGACUUUUGUAUUCGGAUUGCUCCACGUAAAGGGACUUCCUCUAAAGUCCAGCUUAAUGAGUUCAUGGUGUAUAACGACAUCACGAAACCCUUGCAUCUGUUUCUCCAAUCGAACCCUCCACCCUGUUUUCUUUCCGGCAAGCAUUAUCUCAUUGAAGUGAAUGAAGUCUCCUAUUACCACAGUGCACCCAGUGGAAUCGAGUCCACAACAUCCAGUUCAUGUAACAAAUGCCAAGUACGCCCUUCAGUUUGUGUAAAGCGCCAUGAUGGCGUCACUCCUCCCACAUUCACAUCGAUGUAACAUGUACCAUUUGAUCGAAACUGAAUAUCAUUCCAAUUUUUCGUUUCUUCUCAAAAAACAGGAAAAAAAAACUAUCAUGCCAAAACAGCCCUAGACCCCCUCAUUGAUCUAUGAUUAAAACCCACGAGCAUGAGGCCUAAAGCACGACGGAGUCGAUUAAAAUCUUCAUGUAAAUGGAUUUUUGUCUCGAAAAGAAAUAGAAUGAAAGACAUCACAUAAUCUAGCAUGGUUCACAUUUAAAAUUAAUUGACGAUAAAUAAGUGACUCGUAUCUUUUUGUAUAACAAGUGGGAAGAUUUUUGAGAGGGUAAAUAGUCACUUUACUAUCUUCUUCAUGUAAUGCUGGUAAUAGCCACUUCUCAAAGAGCACAUCAAUUUUUAACGUAAUACCAAACGACUUGCUGUAAGCUGAGUGGAUUUAAUACGGGCAAUACGGCCAACCACUCGCUCUGUGUUUGAAAAUGACAUGAGAGGAAAUGCCUCUUUAAUCUUUAUCUAUGUAACCCUAGCUAGCCUCAGUCAGCUGAUCAUUGAGUCGGUGAGCUUCAAGGAAUGCCAACUUACACUGAAAAUUAAAGCAAAUCCAAUUGAAAGCAAACUGCUGGUUGUUAAAUUGGGACCUAUCGAAUCAAUUAAUGUGUGGGUGCUUGUUCAUAAACAUAUGACGUCACGAGGGACGUAUAUGUGCUUGGAUCGAUAUGCAUAUUGGUCUGGAAUCAUCUAAUUAUCAGAGUGUGAAAGCAAAGCUCUGUUCAAACUCGAUCUGCGGCGACAUAUAUAUAUACAGAUAUACUAAUAGCUAGCUAGUAAGAAAACGACCAAAACUUCCCUAAUCUACUCGAUCACAUGCAAUGUCGAUCAUCUCAAAGCUAGAUGGUAUGUGCCUGAUUCUCUUGAUUGAUUUUGAACCAAUUUGCCACACGUUCGACUUUACUUCAUGACUUGUGUUUGUAUUGACUAGUGAGCUCUUUGAAAGACCGAUGUCAAUUUACUAUCCUCUCAUGUAUGCACGACGAGUCUAUGAAUAUAUAAAAAGCCGAUGCGGUUGUCUUUUAGAUUAAUUUACACGUAAAUUUUACAGUGAAUUCGACAUUUGCAUUUGUAUUCUUGUCCCCAAUUUUCACCCGCGUGAAGGACUUACAGCUAGAAAUAAGAUUUUAGGGUAAAAAUAAUAUAUCUACAAGUCAAGUUGUACUCUUCACUAGCGCUGGGCACGGGACGGGAUAGGCCGGGAUUUGGUGAAUCCCGUCCCGUCCGGAAAAUAAAAAAACGGGACAGAACGGGACGGGAAUGCAUUUUUAGAAAUCUAUCUCGUACGUCCCGAUCCCGUUUGGAAUCGGGAUGGGACCAUGAUAGGAUCGGGAUCCCGAAAAAUUAACCCUAAAAAAAAAAACCUGAAAAUAAUCAAAAUAUCUAUCUCUGAAUUAUUAUCUUUCUCAUCUUUGUCAUCAAUUUCAGCAUAGAAGAAGUGGGAGAAGGAGGAGAAGUGGGAGAAGAUGAAGAUGGGGUCUUUGCGGAAGGAGCCGAAGAGGUUGUCGACGGAGCGGGAAUUGUAGUCGUCGCCAUAAAAGAAGUCGUCGUCGAGGGUUCCGAUACGGGUGAGGUGGAGGAAGGGGCGGUGGCGGCGAGAUCGAGACGGGAGAGGAGGAGGAGUCUGUGGGGGUGGGGGAAGAUCAGGAGGCGGCGAGGUUGAGGUGGGAGAGGAGGAGGAGUCUACGGGGGUGGGGGAAGAUCGGGAGGCGGCGAGGUCGAGGCGGGAGAGGAGGAGGAGUCUGCGGGGGUGGGGGAAGAUCUGGAGGCGACGAGGUCGAGACGGGAGAGGAGGGACUUGAGGGAGGGGUCGCGGUCGAUAAAGGCGGUGAGGAGGUGGGUGCCAUUUUCGAUGACGGUGCGGAAGGAGAAGAUGAGGAGGGAGAGGAAGAGGAAGGUGAGGAGGUUGGAGGUGGAGAAGGAGAAGGUUUUGUUUGUUAGGGGGUUUCUGUUUGUUUUUUGUUUUGUUUUGGGUGGAUCUGUGUGGGAGAGAGAGAGGAGAAGAGCAUGUGUGUGUUGUAGUAGGGGGAUGGUUUUGUAUAUAAAAUGAUUAAAAUCAAGUAUUUAAUGAAGUAUAAAGUGUAGAGAAAGAGAGAUAGCAAGAAAAUCAUCAUCUUAUUCAUUGAUAGGAGCCCUUUAUAUAGGGAAUUACACAAUACCAAUAUGGUAAGGAUAUGAAUACAUAGAUCUAGUCUAACUACAUAUCCUAUUGGCAUAAGUCCAAGGCACACAUAAAGAAUAUCUACAAAGAUACAGAAUAUCUUAGAACACUCCCCCUUGUGCCGCGCGCUGAUAUGCCGAUGGUGCUGAUCUGUUGCCUCGUCAAAAACCUCGUCAAGUCACAAAAACCCUGUGGGAGAAAAACUGAACCUUGAUCGUAGGAGAAAAAGAGUACAACGCACCCUUCACAUUUGAUAGUGACAUGUAUGUAUGUGCUAGACUCCCCCUGAAGUUCGCACCUCCCCCUGAUCUUUACAUCAAUCAUAGGGCUCUUCCUGAUUCUUACUAAUCACGAAAAUUUCAACAACUUAGCAUGUCAAUGCUCUUUAACAUGUCUGCAAAUGUGGCAUUAGGCAAUGAUUAACUAAAUCAUGCCGUAUUGUCCUCAAAUGAUCUUUUACACUUAGAUCUUGAGGAGAAGGCCGCUUGUGAACUCAAAACAUAAGUUCGUGCAGGAAAUUAGAUUUCCGCGCAGCAUGACCUUCAGUUACUAGAACAAUCGUAACUUCCUCUAGGAAAUACAUAUGAACGAACCGUAAAUGGUUUUGGAAACUAGACUCAUUUAGUUUUCCAACUGUAUAUUACACACGUUCUGGUUCGUCAGGAGCUAUUCACAAAGUCCCGUCGAGGUUGACUGUUUUGCCAAAAUCAGAUUCUCGGACAGAUUCGUCCUACUUUACGAAAACGGCCAUAACUCACUCAAUAUGAUAGGUAUGAACAAAUGGUUGGUGUCCCUGGAAAGUAGACACAUAGACCUUUCCAAUGGUACCAAUUUCAUCAUUUUCCAGUGAGUGAGAUUUCUUGUAGGUCCCGUGGAAGUUGACCUACGAAACUUGGCAGAUUCUGAUUUCGCUAUUGAUGUGUCUUUCUUAUGUAGGGAUAGAAUAAGCCUCAACCUUUCAUACCAUUAAGUAUUGAAAAAGGAGUUACUGCCAUUACAUUGGUGUUGCGUGGGCGCAUAGCUACACUUAGCUUUACAACUUUUCAUUACGAAUGAGAUGUCAAGUCUUUCGUAUUGUGUUGAGUACAUUGAUGCGUCUUAUUGUACUUAGAUGGGAACUCCAUCUUUUAACACAUAUUUGUCAUCUUACUUUAGACAAAACAACGGAUCUCUCUUUAGAGUAAAGACUUUGACUAAUCAUGAGAGUAUAUGUAGGCCUCACUUUCGUUAGAGCGCUUAAGCCAAUUGAUGAAAAAUCAUCAUCAAUACAGUCAUCGAGUGUCUUAUCGAGACCGUGUCUUCCCAAGAUCUUUUUCUUCGGAUGUUGAUACAUAUUGGCAUCUCUUGAUCCAUCAAGAGUCCAUGUAAAUCUGGAAUGAACACGCAAAUGCAUAAUUCACCAUAUCCCUUCCAAAUCAAGUAGAGUCCAUACGCGUUUCAAUACAUUUAGCAAACACAUGCUCAUGUGGUCUGAAGCCACUUGAUUUGUGUAAUAUCCCACAUCGGCCAAACGGAGAGGGGUUAUGUGCUGUAUAUGUACAUGCCCACCUUCAAUCUAGCACGAGGCCUUUUGGUGGCUCAGCGGCUUCGGAGGGGAUGGGUACUCCGAGGUUAAGCAUGUUGAUGUGAGAGCAAUCCCAGGAUGGGUGACCUACUGGGAAAUUGCUCCUAAGCUGCCGGAAACAAAACCGUGAGGGCCGGUGGGGCCAAAGCGGACAAUAUCGUGUUACGGCGGAAUGGAUCCUGGGGUGUGACAAAUGGUAUCAGAGCCACUCUGCCGUGUGGCGCGAGUGAGCCGACAAGGGCGUCGGACUCCCAAGGGGGGUGGAUUGUAAUAUCCCACAUCGGCCAAACGGAGAUGAGUUAUGUGUUGUAUAUGUACAUGCCCACCUCCAAUCUAGCACGAGGCCUUUUGGUGGCUCAGCGGCUUCGGAGGGGAUGAGUACUCCGAGGUUAAGCAUGUUGAUGCGAGAGCAAUCCCAGGAUGGGUGACCUACUGGGAAACUGCUCAUGAGCUGCCGGAAACAAAACCGUGAGGGCCGGUGGGCCCAAAGCGGACAAUAUCGUGUUACGGCGGAAUGGGUCAUGGGGUGUGACAAUUUGGAUGAAUGAAGUCUGUUCAAGACCUUCAUGCAUAUCUCUGAUCUCGUAGAGAUGUUAUUAUGACCACAUUCAUAGGCUGCUUGUUCAGCGGAAACUACCAAACUGACAAAGUAGUGGAGUUCAAUGACAUCCAUUACGAAAGCAUAUCUUAUCGUAGUUGAUCCCAGUGCGUGAUAGUGAGAGAUCUUGCGCCAUAAAGUGAGUCUAAACUCUUGUUCUCACUACGCUAUCUAACAAAGGUAUAGUUGAUAGGGUUUAGCUUGUGGUGUCGGCAUCACCUGCCCAAGGACCUAUCUCUUUGUUAAUGCUGGAUCGCAUCUUUCCGUUAGGCCAAUCAACUAAGUUGAUAUCCAUCAACGAAGGGUGUUUCGAUAUAAACUCAUUAUCCCACGUCCUCAUGUACACUAGUGUAAUACUUGUAGAGAUCUCUAUAUGGAUUGGAUUUAACAUUGAGGCGUCCCCCAACGAAAAUCACAAUUCAGACUUCAUGAGACGGAUUUGAGUAUCACUGAUCAAUGGAUCAGGUUGUGCCAAACUCGCUUUCUUCCUAGUGCGAUAAAGUAUCGAACCUAAGGGCCUCCCUCCUUUUAGGGAGCCACACGGCCUUGUGACACCAAUUUUGCCACUAUAUGGCGUCACUAUAUCACCAUCCAUGGUGAUGGCGUCAAGACCAACACAUUUUGGUCGCGCCAUGUCCUCUUGAUGGGACAUCAAUCAUUGCAGACAUAUUUGCAGCAUGUGAUCUCGUCACUUUAACAUUUUAAGCAUUUAGGAUCAAGAUGAAACUUAGUAGGGGAAAACCACGACAAUUCACGUCGUUCCACUUGAACACUUGUGUUCUUAUCUCCCCUUAACGGCGGGAAUAUUGUCUCAUUAAAGUGACAAUCCGCAAUAUAGCGGUGAAAGAGAUCGCCUGACAAGGUUUUUACAUAUGCGGAUUAUAGGUGGAGGUUCACAUCCAACCUAAAUACUUAUUCAUCUCAAAUGACCCAUCAUUGUGCGCAGUGGCAGUGCGAUUUGGCACCUAGAAUAAACAUCUAGCUGAGCUCAAUGAUUGGAGAUCCGUUUCAAUCUUGUUUGAGCUCAAGGAUUGCAAUCCUGGUACACAGUCACAAGCUGUAGUACAAAAAUAUUCAAUGAUGGUGGGUCGUAGAUGAAUAGUAAAGCUGCAUGCAAAUAUUGCAUAGCCCCAAGACGCAAUAGAAAAAUUGGUGCGCAUCAAUAAUAUUCAAGCGACAAACUAAAGUUGUCUUGGUGAGACCGUAUUGCGUGUGAACAUGGGGUACAGGACACUUCAACUUACAUCCCGAUAAACUUCUUUAAAGAAUGGGUAGUGAACCCGUAGAAGUAUAAGCAGCAUAAACAGUAGAUAAUAGUGUAACACGUGACCAGUAUGCUAACACUUCAACCAACACCAUAAAGCAUAAAAGGUGUCCACAAGUUGGUUGUAUCUAUCUACAUAGUUUGAUGUAAGAAUAGAAUGUUCACUUUUGUGUCAUUUAGCGUAGGAAGGUCUCACUCCUAAUUUAGCUAAAGAAUAGGCUUUUAAAACGAGGAAUGAGCAUUGCAGGGGUCAAUGAGACAUCGAGGGAAGUCCGGUGCACCUCAAUUGCUUGAGGAAUUGACCGGACGACCUCCAAGAAGUUGGAGUCGUGUUUGGGUGACGUCAAUGUCCCCCGGGUCACCACCAUGCUUCAUGGUGAUGCUAGAUCUCGAAUGUCUUCGUUUUGAGCGGAAGAAUAGAUGUCCAUGAGAAUUUCUCAAAAUUUGGACCAUUAUAUCUCUUCCAGGUUGACCAAUUUGGUCAAACCAAAGCCUAUAUGAGUCAGUGUCCCAAAUAUCAUGUUUGGCGACAACAUGGGAUUCGAUAUUCGAAUCAUAGUGACAUACAGUCCACUAGAUUGACUAAUGAAUUUCUCCAAGAUGCACUUCAGUCCGCAUUCAUGAGAAGGUAUACACAAAAGAAUUCUUGUUCAUUCUCACAAUGUGUUUUCAAAUGAAAACUAUUAGCAGGAAUGUCUUUAAAACUCAAUAUGGUUCGAUUGCCUCUCAAUGCAUAGAGGGUAUCUGUGACAUUGAUCAUGGUGCCAUGAGGCAUCAAGAUUUAAACUAAACCGCAUCCUUGAAUGACCGGUAUGAUUCAAUCAUUGUAGUCACAGAAGAUUUACAAAGAUAGCUGCCGGUUCCUUAGAAUGUUGUGGAUAGUUCCACUAUCUGCGAAGCACUCAAUGUCUCGAUGAGACAUAUCUACAAGAAGGAGUAGAUAGGCUAGUUAAUAGUUCCACUUGAACCAUUUAGAAGGAUUGAAAGAAGCUACGAAAAGCUGCAAUCCCGAGAGUGCAUAAAAAUUUCCGCGCAGAAUGACCUUUGCGCACUAAAACAGCCAUAACUUCCUCGUUAAAAUAGAUAUGGACGAACCGCGAAAAGUUCUAAAAACUAGACUCAUAGAUAUUUCCAAUGAUAUAAAGAUCACUGUCUGGUUCGUCCGGAGCUAUUCACAAAGCUCAAACGAAGUUGACUAUCCAGAAGGGACAGAUUGCUGUUUUUCGCAGAAUUGGCAUGUGCGGAGCUGUGAAGCUUGCAAGUGGCGUGUAGGCUUUUUCCUUAGCCACAAGUGACGUGUUUAUGAUCAAAACCAAGUCCUUUCGGUCAUUCUAAGGUCGUAAACUCCAUGACUAGUUAGCAAAAGCUCCCUAACAUGAACAUAAACUAACUCAGAGGACCUAGAGGAUUAGAUCAUUAUGAUAAUUUUCCGGUUUUUAAUAACUCUUCAACGUCUUUUGCAAGACGGCAAUUGGUUUAAUAGCGUAGGGAGAUCUAAAAUCAAAAGCUUUCGGUAACUCCAAGUCAGUAUGACCAGGCAUGUCCGUGGAGGGUCGGUAGUGCGAGGCACACUUGAAACCACUAUCUCCUUAAUUUCGGACAAUUCUAAGACAUCACACUGAGUUUGGAUGAGCCUAGUUGAACAAUUGAUGAUGGAAAAUCCGCUAUAGGGUAGAAGACUUAACCGGAAACACGUGGGCGAUCCUCUUUGAGGAUGCAGUGCCAUGAGUCACCUUCAAAAGAAGGGACCAAAAUCCGCACAAUAUGCCAUGUCUUUAAGGACGAUGUAAGAAUAUACAUCUUUUUUGUAAAUCAAUAUGAACUAUAAGAGGAGAAUAGAUUCACUUCGAAAAAAUUCCCAAGACAUUCAUUAUUGCUAAUGUGAGUAUAUAUCGAGGUCUCAAAUAAACAAAGGACAUCGAUACGAUGUCUUAUUACAUAUAGCUUGGAAAGAAAAUCAAUGUCUAGCCAAUGACAUCAAAGUCAGGGGUAGUUAGAGCUGUUGAUUUUUCGUACUUUUUGUAUGCAUUCAUAAUUUGAAGGAGCUUGACAAUCUUGAACCAGUGAUCCGAAGAUCCACAACGGCUGCAUUGUCAUGAGCUUACGUGAGUAGUUUUGACAAAAUGGUGUCUAGACCGGGAGUGUCGCUAUUAGAGCCGGCAACACCUCCCCCUCUUUUCUAGACAUCGGCACGACGUUUUCUGCCGUUGUCAUGACCCAUAUUAUUGUCCCCACAUUAGGGGAUAAUCCUAAAUAAAUUUAUCACAUUAGCGUAUAUAUACAAUUCCCGUAUGUAUGAUCAAAAUCAAGUCUCGUUGGUAAUUCCAAACCAACUUGGAGGACCUAGAGAACUUGAUGAUGAUCGAAUCCGCUAAAAGUUAUGGAUCAUGAUGCCACAAAAGAUCAUCGACAAUAUGUAGUCAAUUAAAGUGAUAAGCAAUCCACUUGACUAAUAACUCAACAAGUAGAGUUAUAUGGACGUUUCAAGAAACGCUCCAUGAGUGCAUUCCACAGUACUUUAUGGUCAUUACUUUUUGCACAGAUUGCCAUUGAAUGCUUGUCGAUGUGGCGCGUCAAAAACUUUGAGCACAGGAGAUGUGAAAUCUCGGCAUCUAGGCUUGUUAGCCUGGGGGUCAAAAUACGUGGUUUAAUCCUUUCCAGUGAAAGGUUCCAUAGAUACCAAGCGAAGAUUCGCCUUAGGUAUUCGCUUAGUAUCGAGUACGUCAAAACUCAAUGAGCAGAAUGUUACGUUGCUCUUGCAUACAAAACCAAGCUGUUAUGAGACUCGAUAGAGGUCACAAAUAAUGCUUUUAAUGGUUUGUCCUUCGGAUUGAUCAUACACAAUCCGGAAAAAGCCGCGAAUUGAUCAAACACAAUUCGGAAAAGGCCUCGGAUUGAUCAAACACAAUCCGGAGAAAGGUCGGGGUUGAUCAUACACAACCCGGACAAGGAAGCAAGAGUGAUCAAACACACUCUUGACCCACAAAUAAAAUUCCGGGAUUUUUGGUACCUGCACACACAAAAUCCCAAGCAUAGAAUGGAGAUGGAGAAGGGAGGAAAGGAUUUUAUCCUCCCCGAGUUAUUGAACUUGAAAAAGUUUAAGGUUUCAAAACAUACCUUUCUAGUUUCUUUGAAAGACGAGCAAUCUUGAAAUCUUUGGUUUCUAGAGGCUGCCGAGAGGAGAAACAACGUUUUGCCUACUUAUACUUCGAAUUUGGGGCUGAAUAUGUGACAGGAGGAGUAGCUCUGGAUGGGGAAGCUGCUGUCAAAAUUUCAGGUUGAUCGGAGCAAGGGAAGGUGGCGAACCGGUGGUCGGUAGCGGCGGCGGUUUAGAAUCUUCCGGCGGCCAGUUCGGAGACUUUCCGGCCGGUUCUCAGGGUGAGGCCGGCGGCGUUGGAUACGGAACGGAGAGAGCUUUCUGGGGAUAUAAAACUCCGGCGGAGGGCAGUUGGAAUUUUGGUUGGAAAUCAGAAAAAACAAGGCUGUCUGAUUUUAGGGUUUGGAAAACAAAUGGUGGGCUAUUGGCUCUAGGGUUAGAACAAAGUGCAUGAUAACGUAAUGAAGUAUAAAGUGUAGAGAAAGAGAGAUAGCAAAAGAAUCAUCAUCUUAUUCAUUGAUAGGAGCCCUUUAUAUAGGGAAUUACACAAUACCAAUAUGGUAAAGAUAUGAAUACAUAGAUCUAGUCUAACUACAUAUCUUAUUGGCAUAAGUCCAAGGCACACAUAAAGAAUAUCUAGAAAGAUACAGAAUAUCCUAGAACAGUAUUCUAAUGUUAUAGGAUGGGACGAGAUUUUUCGGGAUUGUCCCGAUCUCAUCCCGUCCCGUUUCAACACUACCAUAAUGGGAUGGGACGGGACGGGAUUGCCAUUUUCAAAACCUAUUCCGUCCCGUCUCGCUAAUUUUCGGGACGAAACCGAUACGGGAUUAGGAUUCGGGUACUAAAUGCCCGGCCCUGCUCUUCACUCUCUUGUAACUGUUCUCGUCUUUGCAAUUUCGUCAAUUUGAUUGUUAGACCCCGAUAGUUAACGUACAUAAUAAGAAAGAGGUGGGUCUCACUCUCACUCAUUAUCUGUACUCUCUCUUAUCUCUAUCUAUCUUCCAUUCUUCACCCACGUCUCUCGCGCUGCUCUAUAAAUAGGGAUGGCCAAGCUGCAUUGUGUACCUAACUCACAAACCACUUCCUUCAUAUAACUUUUAUUGUUGAGCAAACUAAUAGUGAUAUCGAUGGCAUUCUCAAAGACUGUUCUUCUGGUUGCUCUUGUCUUUGCUUUUCUCCUCAUCUCUUCUGAGGUCUCAGCUCAUGGUGAGUCAUAUCCUUCCUUUCAGAUUACGGUAUUCUCAACAAUUCUAUCAGUACGUGACUAAAAUGCAUUACAUUUUGGGUCACUGGUCACAAAAAUAUACCAACGGCAAAAUCAAUCAAAUUUUGAGCAAUUUCAUUACAUAUAAGAAACCAGAUGUUGGUUUGUUCGUUUACCAUGUACAGCAAGAUAUCANNNNNNNNNNNNNNNNNNNNNAAUAUAUACUAUAUAUAUAUAUAUAUAUAUAUAUAUAUAUAUAUAUAUAUAUUAUAUAUUGCUCACAUUUUUUUUUAAAAUCGUUUUAUUUUUGGGUACAGAAAAUUCUGACCACUUCCACGGCGGCGACGAGCAUGGACAUGGUGGCCAUGGAAAUGGAGGACAUGGAGGCCGAGGAGGGCAUGGAGGACAAGGAGGGCAUGGAGGACAGGGAGGGCAUGGAGGACGCGGUGGCCAUGGAGGACGUGGAGGGCACGGAGGGCACGGACCAGGUGCUCAGGAAACUGAGAAUUAGAUAACCGUUUGCUGCCUAGCCUAAUGUCAGGCGUGCUGCUAGCUUCAUGAGUAUUAUUAGUAUGAACUACUAUAUAUGAAGCACUAGCUAGUUUGUGAAAUAAAGUUGUGUUGGUUGAGUAGUAAUCCAAAAACUCUCAAUCAAGCAUGAUAUCAGGUUAUUUCUAAGUUUUAUUGUUUUUUCGAUAUGUUCUAAGUUUUAUCGUUAUCCUCUUAAAUUGUAAUGUUUCUAAUGCAUGUAUGCCUGAAAUGGCCUCGUUAUAUGUUAAUAUGUACUAUUUGCACUUAGUUAAUUUAUUGAAGAAAAAAAUAAAACACUCAGAUGUGAUAAAACUUACAAAAUAAACUAGAAACAUAAACGUGAAAAGUCCAUAACAAAUGGAAGUAAUAAGAAAAUGUACAUUGUAGGUCUGAUUGAAAUGUCAUCUUGUCUGCCUUAUCUAUGCUUCAAACCAAACAUUUAUGCUAACAUUACAUUACACCAAGAACCGGGAAAGAUUACACUGUUGUGUACUUAAAGAAAAAUGAUCCAAUCAGUAUCUCACCUUUUAGAGAAACAAAACUUUAGUAUCUCAACUUUUAAAAACUUCAAAACGGUAUCUCACGUUCUUACCCUAACUAAGUAUUGGUAUAUGGAACCGUUACCUCUGUUAAAAUUAACGACAACGGAAGGAUAUUUUCGUCUUUAUAUAUAUUAAAGUUUUUUUUUCUCUCUCAUUAUUUUCCACCUUUUCUCUUACUUAUUUUAUUUUCUUUAAGACCAUCCCCUCAAUUUCUUCAUAACCCAGAUUUCCAUUCCAGUGAAGAAGAAGACUCCCCGUCCCCAAAUCCAAAGUUCAAGACUUCUUGCAGUUUAUUUCAAUAGAAAUAAACCUGAUAUAUAUACAUGAUGAUUUUGUUAUUUCAAUCUCAUCUUAACCUCUGCGUUUUGCAUUACAUGAGCAGAUGACCUCUUCCACAGAAUAUGAAAAAUGAAAUUGAUGUUUUAAAUUCUUCCUUUGCUCAACUUCAAGCUAGCCCCAUUUUCAGUUUGAAUUUGCCAGAUAGUUAAUAUGGACAAGGCUUCUUUGCUCGCCGGCGAAACUUCGAACCACAACCCAAUAACCUCUUCACCUUGAAAGGCAGAUUUGUGGUCAGGGACAUCCGUGCAAAUUCAAAUCCCAAUCCAGAUUUGUGGGUUGGCUUUUAUAUUAUAUAAGAAAAAUUAAUGAAAAUAGAAAGUAAAAGAUAAAUUGAUCAUUUUAGGAUAAACCAUCAGCUUUUUUAACGGAAGUAACCGUUUCAAAUACCAAUAUUUAAUCGGUAUAAAAACGUGAGACACCGUUUUAAAAUUUUUGAAAAUUGAAAUGUCAAAAUUUUGCUUUUCUAAAACGUAAGACACUAUUUGAAUCAUUUUUCCUUUCCGCAAAUAUAAUUUCUGUUUUAGCUGUUUUUUGUACAAGGAUGAUCAUUGAAUGACAACCACAUAUGAUUUGCGAGUUCGAAAUCCAGAUGAUUUGCAUCAAUACUUGAUGGAACUACAAUGUUUCCCUUUAUGAGUAAAUUUAUCAAUAAUAUCAGAAAUACCAGUCUACUUCGUGAUUAUUCGUUUUUUGUAAAUGUUUUGUGAGUUAUGACAUCAUAACUGAUGGGCUUCGUGUACAUCUACCCACAACGGAAAGUUAACAGGAAAUUGAGGGGUGCGUCUUGAGAUUAUACAAUUACAGAUUAUACAUUACUACCCACAACUUGCACCAGAAAUUCAUACCUUACCCUCCUAGUUAAUUGUAGGCUACAAACGACAAAUGACACAGAAAAGCUAACCACACAGCAGCAAAAGAUCAAUCACCUACAACCUUUUCUUACAAAAAUGAAAAACGCUGGGGUGCACAUUGCAAAAGACCUAAAUACUUUUCCUAAACAGAUGCUCCUCCACGGGCUUACUCAGGCAGAAAACCUGCUGAAUGCCGGUUUGAGAAGUAAGGAUUUGGACCAGGAGCAAAACCAUAGGGGGGCCGUUGAUCAGCAUGUUGGGGUGCCCUGAGAUCGUUGUACGGGUUGCUAUUGAACACAUACCCAAGCGCUGGUUGGGUUCCUAAGGCACUCGUCCCAUCCAACGGAUGUAAAUACCUCUCCAUGAUUGACGUGUUCAUUCUGUGAGAUGGGUAAACGGCUGAACCAUGCUCAGCAUGCCCAUACGUGGACGGAAAUGCAACUUGACGUGGACCCGCUAUAUAAUUACUUCUGUGCAAAUCAGAAUCUUGAUGCCCAUAAAACCGUGCAUGUAUUUCAUCCAUCCCCCGGGAAUAUCUAUGCUCAAUGGAAUCUAACCUCUCUCUCCUGCAUCUAAUUUCAGGUUCCUCCAAGUCCGCAUCCAUAUAAUUAGAGCUAGGACUGGCACCACUGGGACAUCUAUGCGUGAAAAUUGGAUAAAUCUCCUCACUGCUCAUGACAUUUCUACCAGUGUCAUCAGGGAUUCUGGCUAUGGUCCUGUCAUAAGCUGUUUCAAAAUGCACACUUGAACUAGAAUUGCUGGGAUGCUGAUUCGGUUUUCGCUUUUGCUCAUUAGAUGGAGAACUUUCCUUCUGAAUCUCACUAGAAAAAUUGUCGCCAUCACGUUUUUUGUCUGGCGACAACUCAACCACUCCACUCCCAUUCUUUUUUCUGCCACCACACUGCCGUCUCCCAUUCUUUUUUCUGCCACCGCACUGCCGCCUCUCAGAAAUCUCAUUAACCUGGUUCUUAUGGUUACCAGAACUUGCACGGAAACCUCUGUCACCAUUUCUCUUGGAGGAUCUCUCUUCAUGUCCCUCGCCUGCAACUCCAACAAAAUCACUGGAAUUACCAGUUGGUGUCAAAUAAGCAUUUUCCACCAUCAGAUUUUCAUCCUUAUUCUCAACUGAAUUUUCAUCCUUAUUCUCAACUGAAUGAACAUCUUUCCCUGGCCCUAGUAACAUAGGACCGUGACUAGCCUUUCGAGCAAUAGCCCUGUGUGCCUCAGACCAAUCAGGAUGACUCCAAAGAUAGAGUGGAGGUGCUGUCACAUUCCACUGAUCCAUUUGCUUGUCAUUCUCAUCAACAGAUCCAGGGAGAUAAAAGGACUGAAAGGAGACAGAUACAAGUGAGAAACAAACAUUUAAAAUUUACAUUCCAUUAGUUAACAAUCACUAUAGGUGACUGGUAGAUACUUCUCAAUUUACCUUUCCUGACAAAAACCGUUCAUCCUCCCAUAUCAGAUCAUAUGGUAACCUGAAUAAAAGCACCAAAAUAUACACAAAUCAGAAUCUGAUUUAACGAGACCAGAGAGCAUACUUCAGACAUGUCAGAGAGAAUAUCUACCUUUUUGUUUCUGGUGGAACAAUAAGAAUAAGGAGCUUCGGAUUGAAUUCCAGAGCCUUAGAAAUAAACUGGUUUGCCAAAGCUGCUUUAACUCCAAAAGGAGGGUUCAACCCCAUAAUCUGCUCAAGAAGCAAAGUUAGAGAAUAGUGAAACAAUUAGCACAAGGCUUAAGAAAUCCAAACAACUUGACAUAAAAUAUACCAAACCUCCAUUUCUUACCAAUUUAUUACGAUCGGGUAAUUCAUGUUUUUGAACAGUCAUCCAAUCUCUCUUCUCAAAGCAAAAAUCAUUCUGCAAUGUAUAUUUAUAAAACAUGUGAAGUGUAUCCCAACAUUUUUUUUUUAUCAAUAAGCAUGUGAAUUAGCAAACACACACACACAGUCCUAUCAUCCAGUAACCAACAUACAAUGUGACAUAGUAGAACAACCAAUAAAUUGGGCACAGUAAAGUUCUGUAGCAAAAUGAUGAUGAAAAAUUAAGAACCAGGAGUAAACUCCAAGUGCUUGUUGUCUGAAUUUCAUUUUCAAUAUCAGUACAGAUCCAAAAAAUCUAAGUCUACAGUAUGGUAAACAUUCGUGAACUACAAUGGGAGCACAUGAGAUAUUCCAAACAACUGGUAACUGAUCAAUCAAAAUUCUUUCACGCUGACAAGCGUACUUCGCCCUUAAACAAUGCACUUUUAAAUGCCAUAUUUAUUAAAAUCCUUGUGUUUUAGGAGCUCUUUAUCUUUAUAAACUCCCUAUAUAUUAGGCUCUCGAUUUCUCUAUAACCUCCCUGUGUUUUGUAAGCCCUCUACUCUCUCUGUCUUUCUAAACAUGGCAGUGUUUUGGGGCUUCACCCUAUUCUAUUGUUUCAUUAAUGGUCUAGCUGCAGCCUAACUGGCCCUCCUCAGAUAAGCAAAAAGAGCAGGCAGUGUCCUGUAAAUUUCUCUUUGAUAAGCUCCUGUUUUUAUAAAAAUCUUUCAAGACUUGCCACAUGAGGUGUGGGAUUGCUAACAAGUGUGAAUUGGGGGAAUUACAAGGGUUAAGAAACUACAAGUAGGAUGCAACAAAGUGUGUAUUCGGAGAUACAUUAGAAUGAAUCAUGUCUAUCAGAGAAACGUACUUUUUUACUAUUAUAAUUUGAUGCGCAAAAUGUUUAUGCAUUUACUCUUGAGGGACUAGAUCAGAGCAAAAACACUCUACCUAUGCUAUUUACUUAAUACAUUGAUUCAGAAUUACUAACCGUAACACCUGUGAUCUUAAGACUUUUACCAGAAGUUUAGGCUGCAAUGCUAUUUGGUGUAUCAGAAGUUUUACAUCAACAAUAUCAAAUUUCUACUUGACGAGUACAACGGGAAUAUGCAAGCGUCCGGCAAAAGACUACAUAUCAUCAAUAGUAAGAUCCAAAUUGACCAAUAAAAGAAUUUAACAAAUAAAUUUUACCUUGGGAUGAAUGAUGUCAUAAUUUUUAAAAUAGCACUUCUUCCCCAUCUCCUCAAGCUUUUUCUUCAUUGCGAUGCUGAAAUCAUUAGAGCCACAACAGAAGUCCACUAUCUGCUCAGUGGAAAAAAAAUGUAAUCAGGCACUCAACAACUUUUUAAAGAGGUACUAAACACAGAGAGAAGUCAAACAGAACCUUAAGAUAAUGGUUUAGGUUAUCAAAACAUGACACAAUCAAGAACAUUAAGCAUUCUUGCAAAAAGUAAAUCAUGCAGAGGGAUUAGAUACAUUUGCCAUGAUUUUGAUUAUUUGACUUGAUUCAUGUCAAUAAAGAUCAGAUAAGAAAACAGGAUCAGAUAAAGCAAAGCAGCAUCCAAAUUCUAUAUUAUGGAUGUAUUUUGGACUCAUGUAUGUGCAUCGACUAAACUUAUUUCCAAUAGAACAAUAGACAUCCUUACCGUGUCUCCACUCUGUACGUACCAAUGGAGCAUAUCAGCAAUCUGUAGAAUGAAAAUUAUCAAUGAGAUUCCAUAGUUUUGAUAAAGAAAAUAUGUGCAGACCCAGUUGAAUUACACAGUUAAGAAGAAAAAAAAUUAAACAGCCAAAGAUAAAAUAUUUCUGCAGCCACAUGAUAAUGAGUAAUGACGAUAUGAAGAACUGGAAGUAAUACAGACCACACGCCACUAUGCUGAUACAGUUUUACUUCUUUUCUUUGUUUUCACAAAUGUGUGAUGAUGUGAUUGGGAAAGGGUAAUAAAACUUCUUAAGAUUAGUUAGGGAGGUGUCCCUUUUAUAGCUGAGGUUUUAGGCUUCUUUUGUUGCCAUCAGAAUCAGCUGAUUUUAGAGACAUUAUCUCUUCAAAUCAGAUUAGCGUUGGGUUUUAAACAUGUGUUUUUAGUGUAGUUGCAUGUGGUUUGUCUUUGUGCUAUUGCCCAAUGGUAGACCAGUUUUGCGAAUUUAGACAUGAUCUUGAAACUUUUGACUUUGGUUACUAAUAAAGUUACUAUCAAAACCAAUCAAUAAACUUCCAAAUGGUGCUCUAAAAAAUCAUUCAUAUUGCUGAAACCACAACAACGAUUCACAAUAAUAUACCAUAUAACUGAUGCACGUGAACACAAAUGGAUACACAUGUUCAUGAAAGCACUUAUGAAAGACACGUUAAUGUGAAUGAAAAAAAAAUACAAUAAAAUGGUAAUAAAAACACCAAGCACAACAUAAAUUUGAAACAGCCAAGACCUAAACAGACCGGACUGCUGGUCUACACAACCUAAUAUGACAGCAUACACAAGGUAAUAAAUUUAUAUUAAAUUUCAAGAUGAAUUGAAAUAAAUGAGACCAGAACAAAAUUAGAUUACCUGUUCCAGUUUUUCCACCUUCGUGAAAUGGCGACCAAAGGACGUAUACCGCAUCCCAUGCAAGAAAGGUGCAAGAUAUACUUUAAGCUUGUUCUGCAACAAAGUACCAUAACACAAAUAAGAACACUAGAAAAUACCAUUUCCAAAUAAAAAUGUGGAAUGAAGUUAGAUGAGGUAACGAAAUCAACGAUUUGAAACUAAAGUUAACCAAUAAAACUGAAGCAGACAACACAGAGAGAGAGAGAGAGAGAGAGAGAGAGAGAGAGAUUUCAUGUAGUGAUAUAUCUUUAGCAAUGAGAGGGGAAUGCGCUUAGUAACAAGUGGGUCACAUAGGAUGCUAAAUAUACAAUAUUUAGAGUACAAACAUGAGAGUACAAACUUUGCUAUUUUUCUACUACUUAAAUAUACAAUAUUUCCUGAACUUAUAUACAUGUAUGGGGUUUAUCUACAAAUAGGUGUCUGCAAGCAUUUAUAAACAGACAAACAGGCACUAUAUUUCAGAAUAACAAUUUCAAUAAAAGAUGUACCCAAGAAAUAUAUAUCCAUUUGACACAACCAAAGUCCAAUGAUCACAAUUCCAUCACAAAAUAAAUCUAGUUUUAGCUACGAAUUAGAAGUCUGUUUCAGCUUUGCUUAUGAGGCUCAUUCUUCUUACCUUCUCAAUUAAAUGUUCAAAACUGAACAUGCAUUGAUCAAUAUUUCUUAGUCCUGUACUUCCUUAUCUAUAUUCAUUAUAUGUUUUUCCUUAUCUUUUACUUCUAUAUAUUCUGCUUUCUCCCUCAUUUGUAAGUGUGUAGUUGAACAGAAAACUUUAAUACUCAAUCUACAUACAAGCCAACUCAAGCCGAGGUCAAGAAUCUACAUACAAGCCACAACUCAAGCCAAGCUCAAGUUCACUUGUUCCACACACAAACAUAAUACAGCACGGUUAAUCUAGCCACGCAGUAUGAUGCUCUGACCACUUGACUAGUUUAUCCACGUCUAGCAUAAGCAAGCCAAACCCAAGUAUAACUUCUUAAAGUGAAAGAGGGUGAGAUACCCUAGUGAAAUAUCCCAUGCAUAAAUCAACAAGCAACAAUUCAGGAAACCUAGGAACAAAUCACAAAGAGUCUUUGCAUAAAAUAGCAACAGAACUGUAGACACAUUUUAGAAUAAGAAAAGAAAACCACCUUCCACUUAUAAAUCUGGGAAAGAAUCUCCGGAGCACAAACAGCCUCUGCAUCUUCAAUACUGCAACCUUCCUGUAGUUUCUUUAACGCAGUUCGAAUAGCCUAAUUAUACAUAGAUGGCGUUAAGAAACCGAUGAUAAGAGAAAUAAUUAUUAAAAAAAAAAUCAUACUUUAUGCCCAAAUUGAUAAAUGAAAUUCAAAAUAAUACCUCAACUGAGCCUUCCACCUUUCCCUGUGUAAUGUUCCUUUCUACAGCAUAUCUGUUUGAGGACUUAUGAGUGGAUGGAACUUUGUGCUUUUCUAUAACCUCUUCCAAUGUUAUUGACGAGGCAGCAUCUUUCAUUAAAGCAUAUAAUCUGGGAUAUAAUAAAUGAAUUCAGCGCACUGCAUAUAAUUUAUAUUGAUCCAAUAAAAUAAUGAUUGCCUGUAACAAUUGCAAGCCCUUGUAAUGUUAUCCUAAGCAUAUCUGUGUAUUAACGCUAAACAGUAUACAAGACCAUUCGAACAGUAUUAAAACUGUGCGAAUCGCCCCUUCAUUCACACUACAGUCCGUAGUGUGAAUAUCCUACCUAGAAGGCUAGAAACAGUCCCUGGUUUGUGUUAAAUUGAGGCAUAACAGUAGUUACAGACAUAUACAUAUAUGUUAAGGGUGCGGCAAGGUUCAAAAACUCACUAGGCACUACUAGGGUGGAGGGAAGGCUAGGCGCACCUAGGAGGCUGGGCUAAGGGUUUAGGGUCUAGGCGAGCUUCUAGGCGGCUUAUAUUUUUUUUUUUUAAAUUUGUAACUUUUAUUUAUAUAAUUCAAAAUAUAUAAGGAUUAAAAAGAGUAAUAAUUUGUAUCUACAACAUUCAUAUUUCAAUAUAAUCCUAACAAAUCAAAAUAGGGUGAGAAUGUUAAGCAUACAAAUACUAGAACAAGACAUUUGUUUUAGCCUUGAAAAAUAGUAAUUAAAACGCCCAGGCGCUACUAGGGCGGAGGGCAGGCUUGGAAUACCUAGGUGACGCCUAGACGGGCUGGGCAACCUUGUUUUAGAACACUUAAGGUUUAAUGCCAAAACGGCCUCCUGAGGUGUACUCAAAAAGUCAGAGUCCCCCAACCUUUUAUGUGAACAAGUAUCUUAAGUAUACAUAAUUAAUGAACCAACAUUUUAUUUCAUACAACUUAUUUCGUAAUUUGUUUGCUACUUAUGUGAUUGGCAUGUCUGCUUUUAGGUAGAUUGGAUGAGACCCUCAGAAAAUUGAAGGGAAGAACAUUGUCAAAACCUUGAUAUUUAUGUAAACAUCAGGGAAUCUCUGGCAUUUAAAAAGCCUCUGUUUAAAAGCGCAAGUAUCUUCAUAAAUAUCGAACUAGAAUUGGUAAAUAAUUAGUAAAAGAGCAAAAGUAUGUUCAUAAAAAUUGAGCUAAGAUUGCUAAAUAAUUAGUAGUCAAAUAGACUUACCUCCUUUCUCUAGCAGGAUCUAAGGAAGCUGCUGCACUCAAUGUUUUUGUUGUAGGAUCGAAAUAUGCUAUCUUUUCAGAAUUUAGUUCAGCAUCAUCAGGCUCAUCCUUCUUCCCAAACUUUACUGACCCAUGUUCCUUAACAUAUUUAAACAGCCUAUUACCCAAUGAGUUGUUCUUUUCCACGCUGGUCGGGACUUCCUUUUUCAGUGUCCUAUUUACCAUCACCUUUCUUGAUACAUUUAACCCAGAAGGUACUUUUUCAGUAAAUCUGUUACCCCCAAGUUUUUCACCCGAAUUCGUUUUCUGCUUAGAUAGUGUAGGAGCAGUUCUUUCUCUAUGCAAUCCCUCUGACGAAAGCUUUCUCUUCUUCAAAAGAGAGCUGUCACUGACCACAUGAGACUCUGAUGUCAGUCUCCUCUUUUUAACUUCGAAAGUAGCCUUCUUUUUCACAAUAGUAUUCUUCUUUCCAUCAUCAUCAGGGAAUUUAACAUGGUUCCUUAUUGGAGUUCCAAUUUCUUCAUCUAUUUCAUGUUCUCUGAUCAGAAGAAAAAUCAAACUUGUUUAGGAAAAAAUAUUUAUAUAAAAAAAGAACAUAUAUCGGCAUAUCGCAAACAAAACAAAGAACUAAUGCAGCUGCUGCAAAGUACCACGUACGUGCAAUAUAUUAGUAUGCGAUUAGGCAAUAGACCUUCCCAAGCUCUUGUUUCUGUUUCUUCUUCAUCUUCUAUCUCUUCCUCCUUAUCUUCCUCUGUUUUCUCAAAACGGAUAUUACUGGUACAUUUAAUUCAAGCAUGAGUUAUUUUAGACAUGACAAUGGACCAUCAUCUGAUAACAGCAAUAAGACUCUAAAAGUACCUCGGCAAGCAUUUUCUGUGAUAAGAUUUAGGACAACGCCUGCACACAGCAAACCGCAUUUCGGAAUCCUUCUUAUUCUCCCCUUGCUUACAAAGAAAGCACUUAUGAAUCGGACACGUAAAAGAUUCUCCCUGAGAGAUCUUUUUCUCAAGUUCUUCAGCAGAAACUCCAUUGUCUUGAUAGAUUAGUUUUGCAACACACCGAGGAUGGUAAAAUUGACCACAAGUUGCAGAAACACAUGGAAAUACCUAAAAGCAAUAGAUAAAGUUUCUUUAGUGCUUUCUCUCAGAAGAAAGAAGCUUUCAUCGGAUACUUAAAGAUAAAAAAGGAGAGUUCACUAGUUUGUACAACUAACGUACACAUGGGGAAGAAAAAAAGACACUCUUUAACAAAGAAACUGAUUUCCUAUCAAAACAAAUACAGUGGUUUCUAGGAUGAGGUACAUGCCAUUUUUAUUGAAUAAUCUGCCUCGAGAUCCUACUCAUCAUUUACCGUCCAUCAUAAGACCUUGACUUAAUGGGAAUCAAUCAAAGAAAGCUCAAACAUUAUGAAUGUUCCACGAAUUAAAAUGAAAAUGAUAAAACUUUUAUCAGCAUAAGGAAAUUGCACUAAAUCAACAAUGAAAAUGAAAGGAGUGGAACCAACUUUAGACUCACUUAAAUGAUUGCACAAAAUGAUAGGCAGUAUGUUAAAGAAUAUAUAUAUAUAUAUAAUUAAAAAAAGAAAAAGAAACAAAAUACCAAUAUUAAAGAAUGCUAACAAGUCUAUGAAGUCUAUAGUGGCAAAAAGGUGGGAGUACAUGACGUAGGUACUGGUGUCUUUAGGGCUUCUGUCUCUGGAAGUUUAUGAAUUAUACUUCAGAAUCUAUUAUGUUAGAUUGGAAAGCAACCAUAGUCAUGGUUGUUUGUCUAGGCUGGUAGUCUAGCUGUAUCAUUCACGGGCUGUAUAAAGCUGUUUGUUUGCCCUCAAAGAAAAAGAAAAACAAAAAGAGACUUUCUUGUAUGACAGAUAAUCUAGGAACCUGAUAUUUGAAAUUCAUACCUCCGCGCCCAAAGACUUAUCUGAGGAGCCUAACUUCCCACAAGCAAAGCACUGAUGCUGCUUAUAUUGACAGUUCUUGCAGAAGAAACUUGGCAUUGCCUACCAAAUGCAGACCAUAAAAUUACCAUAAUCAAUAAUAAGAAUACCAAAAAAUAGUUGAAAAAACAAAAACCAAGUAAUCAUGACUUAUGAAAAUGUACAUAAAAGGGGAGCAUACAUUUACUUCCUCCCGAGUGAAUCCAAGAGAUUCACAAAUUGAAUCCUCGCCAUCCUCUACAGUGGGAUGGAAGGACCUUAGGCAUCUCCCUUCACAACUGUAAUAGAGAAUAAAACAUAAAUUCUACAUGAAAUUCUAUACAAAAUAUCAAGAUUAUCUUCAGUUUCACCAGGAAUUAGCGAAUACAAAAGCAUACCACAAAAGCUGUCCCCCGUUAUCACAAAAGGCACAAACAGAAUCAAACAGGUUAUCAUCAUCAUCAUCAUUUGACUCAUCUUCAACAUCAAUCAUAUAAUCUUCUGCAUCAUCAACUAUAAAUCCUGGCUUUGUCGUAGCUUGAAUAUCCUGAAACAUCCAAUGACAUCAUACUCAAAACACUAGAACUCUAAACAGCAGAAUUGGGAAACAAAAAACAAAAAUCUCGAUAAUAAAAGCAUAAUAAUGAAAAGGGUAAACAGAUGAGCAAAAGGAUCUGACCUCAUCGGAUAGUGUGGGCUUCUCUUUAAGAAAGUCGACCAUAAACUGUUCAAACACAAACUGUCACUUUCUUAUAUAAACAUAUAGAUAGUGUCUAUACUUCAUGCGUUAAGGAAGUUACAUAAAUGCAGACUAAAUAGGAUUAAGGAAGUUACAUACACAUACAUGUGAAAGUCAAUGGAUCAGCUAACAGGAAAAUUACAAGGAUACUGUCUAUGUCCCAUGCCGCAGUUUAAAGAAUACAAAAUGGCUUUAAGGAAGUUACAUACAAAUACAUAAGAUCCACAACAGGAAAUUACACCACACUCAAAUAAAAUGAAGAUUUUAAGUAAAAGAAAUGAGUGAAAAAAAAAGGUUUGGAGCUUAAUGAUGUUCAUGUACUCAAAAACUCAAUUUUCCCCUAUAAUGUUCAUAUACAAUUGAAGAAGAAGCAAAUACUUUGAGCUCAAUAUAUUAACUGAAACAUAUAUAACUUCUUAACUUGGGAUAUAUUAUGACUAAGAUCGUUGAAGAGAGGAUGAACCAGUUGUGAUGUGGCCUCUCCAAUUUUAAUUGAUCAAAAACCUACUCUCAAGAAUACCAACCAGCACCAUGAGAAAAGGCAUGACACUAUGCAAAAGACUACCACACAAAAGAUCAUUUAAAAGAAACCAGGACAGCACAAGCUGAUGUUUCCUGUGCAUCUAAUUGAAGGGUGGUGGUACCUAGCGCAACUAUAUACCAAAAAUUUAUACUUCAAUCUCAGGCAUGCUUUAAGCAUUAGGAAGUAGAACCACCGAACACUCAAAUACAAUGACAAGAAAACAAGCAGACAAACCUUGGACUUCGCCAACGCAUCAUCCCGUUUAAGAGCUUCACUAAUCAGACUCCUCUGAUCCACCAAAUCACUCUUUGAAGGCCUAUCCUCAUAGCUGCGAAAUUAAAACUUUUUCCAUCAAAUUUUCCACCAAUAAAACCUACCAACCUACAAGCGUAAAGAACAAAGAUUGCGAAAUGUACCUAAAAGCCUUACACAAGUAAUCCCACACAGCUUUCCCGGACGCCUCGGGAUUGCGUUUCGCAUAACUAAGACACUGCACAGUGAUCAAAACAGUCCUGAUAAUCCCCUCGUAGCUCUUCCUCGGCUUCUGCAGCACAAUCCAAUCCCCCUCCUUGGAAAGCACCGCAAUCUCGGGCUUCACAUUCGAGAGAUCAAACCUCCAAGCAACCACAGGCUUGUAAAUCUUCUCAAGGUCAGCACUGCCCUUCAGAAACAACACUGCUGCUUUCUUCUUCUCUUCCUGCCUCUCACCGCCAUCGCUCCAUUGAAUUGGCAACACGUGGAAGGAAAUCGGCUCAUCCUCCCCGUCUAGGAAGUGGUAAUUCGAAACCGAGACCGGCACCGCCUCGGCCUCGUCGUCUGAUGAUUCCAUCUCCGGAAUUCAACACUAAAAGCGAAAUUCGAACAAUGAGCGAACCGGAAUAUCACCGGCGAAAAUGCCUAGGGUUUUGAUUCUGGGAGAAUUGAAAUCUUCGAUCGAAACGUUUGGGUUGAAUUGAGCAACUCCGGUGCGCUAACUGUCAGCUUUGUCUUUAAACUCACGAUUGUAGAAAUUGACUCCAGGUUGAACCCUGAACCCUUCCCACCGUAUAUAUUUUCUCUGGGUUGCUCUGACCUAUCUUAUUAAAUAUCACAGCAAAAGAAGAGUCCUCCCGUAUUAUCAUCCCAAUAAAAAAAUGUCUUUAUUUUAUUAUUAAGAAAUUUUAUUAACACAUCCAUAAUUAUUAGAUACACGUACCAUACUUAAUACAUCACCUAUUAACUUUAUUGUUUUAACAUUUUACUAGAUACACAUACCCAAAUUUCUUAUAAUACCCUCAUUUAAAAUACAUAACUUAUUCACUAAAUACACAACUCAUUCAUUAAAUACAUAUAUUUUCUAAAUCUUCUACUCAAUUUAUUAAGAGAAAAUUCACAUUAGUGAGAUUACUUGCGACACGAUGGCACCGAUUUUGCUUGAUAUCUCUCUCAUUGAUGAGUUAGAUCAAUGGCAACCAAACUAUAAGAGUAUAUAUAUAAUUAUAUAUAGCACCAUCUCAAGUUCUAGUUUGGUGUUCAAACGUAAAUGCUUUUGAACGACCAAGCAUAUGUGAACAAUAAAAAAUAAAUUUUCCAAUUUCAAUUUGCACUAUCUAAUCAAACAACAAACCCUAAAAUCUAAAUUUUGUAGUAGAUCAAUUUUAAUCAAAGAUAGAGAAGUCAUACCUUGCUUAAGGGUUGAGAAACAUCACUGGAAUUCAUUACGUUGUUUUUAGUUUUUGCUUGAAACUAUGGUUGUCGCUAGCUAUUUCUGAUUAAGGCAUGGUAUAUAUAUUCACAUACGUUGUUCUCGUAGAGGAGAAUAAUAGUCUGAAGCGGGAUUUUUUUUUUUUUUUUCAACUAGGUUUCUUUACUUUUGAUAUAAAUGUCUAUUUUGGUAAUUUUAUGUAACUACAAAGUCUUAUUUAAUUUAUAUGAAAAAGUGAUGUGUAUCUAACAUUUAGGGAUGUGUUAAUAAAAUUUCUCUUUAUUCUUACUAGUUUGCUUUUUGUUUUUUGUUUUUAUUCAUAUUUUUUUCUGAAUAAAAAAAAUUGGUUAUGUUUUUUUUUCUUUGAUUUUUAGCGUUUUCUUUCGAUGAAGUGGAUCAAAAUUUUACUGUUACUAUUACAAGAAGCCAACUACUGUUCCACAUUUGUUAGCUCUUUUUCUUAUAUUUUCGUGUUUAUAUAUGAGUAAUUUUAAGUACACACCCAUAAUCUCUUAAUACACUACUCAUCUAAUUUUUCAUUUAAAUAUUAUACUAAAUACACAUCCUACACUGCUUAAAAUACCCUCAAUAUCUAAAACUAAUAAUAAUAUAUAUGUUAUUUAAUAUAAUUAUUAUAUAUUUACUACUUCACAACUCUCUUUACGUAUUCUCUUUUAUUUUCUGUUAGAUUUUUUUUUAUUAGGUUAUAAAUUUUUUCUUGAUAUUUUUUCAUUUAUAAUUAAAAGAGUAAUAUUAUAUUCGAACUCCAAAUCUCCAAUAUGACAUCAAUCGGCUAGAAUUUGAAGAAAACAAAGAAGAAAACAAAAAUAUUGAACAAACAUAAUUUUUUCAAAGUUAAGAAACUAGUAGAAUUGUAGAAGUACAUGCAAUAGCAUAAAAAUUAAACUAGUUUUUAGUCUACAAGAUAAAAACUAAUGUUGAUAAAAAAAAAAACCAAAUGAUUCGGUAAUUAAAUAGUACAUGUGAUUACGACAGUAGUUGAAAUUCAAGUGAUGAAUUUUGGAGAAAAGGUUUUUAUUCUUUUUUUUAUUCGUAGUAAUUAAUAGUGCGGAGGUUUUAGGGAAGAGGCAGUUUCUUUUUUUUCUUUUUUUUUCCUUAAUAAUUGAUGGAUGUUUUUGUAACUAAGCAUACCUAUAAAAUCUGAUGUGAAAUAUAAAAUAAUAAGGGCAUGUAUUAAGAAAUUAGAGAUGUGUAUUUAAAAUUUCUAUAUAUAUAUACAGUCUUUCUCAGGUAAGGAUGUCUUUAUUUAUUCUUACAGUGCAAAUUUCCACUUUAGACUCACUUAUUAAUCGAAUUUUCACAUCUCCACCGUCUAGUCUUUAAAUACUAAUGUAUAGAUCAUCUGUACAAAAUUUCAGCCAAUUUGGUUAUCAUUAAGCCGUUCAAAAGAGGACAUCUACACAGCCCUUAAAGUGCGGACGUCCUUCUAUUCUCCACCGUCCGACGCCGACGACACCUUUUUUUCUUACCGGAGGAUAGCAGAGACAUCCAGGACAGCAUAACUAUGAAGAAGAAGGUCAGAGAGAUCGGGAUUGAAGCACUGGGUAGCAACCUCACUCGAAGCUUCAAGACCGAUCAAGCUCGGUAAGAAACUUGCAACCGACGAGUCCACCAGCAAGAGGAAGCUCAGUAUCAAGGUCUGAUGUGCUCCAGCAAGAAGAAAAGGCGUUGUCGGCGCCGGACGGUGAAAAACGGAGAGACGUCCGCACUUUAAAGGCUGUGCGGACGUCCUCUUCUGAACGGCCCUGAUCAAAUUACAACAAAAAUAUUUAGACAUUAAAUUAUAGUGUUAUUGAAAUAUAAUAAAAAUGGUGCAAUUUAGGUACCUCAAAACUUGGUGAAACCUUUGCACCAAAACCACGCUUCCCAUUAUACAAGUGAAGAUUAAACACAUCUUAGGGGUUUCUAAAAAAGGAGACAUUAGGGGAAUUGGGCUGUUAUAUUUAGUAAUUAACAAUGACACAACUAGAACAUGGUUAGUAUCGUGUCGUGUGUCGUAAUAGGAUGUGAAUUACUUAAACAAAAUACAUCUAACAAUCAAUAGCUGAUUCAGGAUUACACAGCUAGAUCAAGGAUAGAAGUCAUAGAACAAUGGAAGAUUUGUCCGAUUGUGCUACUGGUACAAUCUUUAAAAAUUGUAUCCACAACAAGCACGAAGAGUUCUCUAAGUUAUGCAUGAAGAAAAUAACUCGGGUGAUUCCUAUGUGAUUUCCAUGUUUACUCAUGACGCAUUGAGGUUCAAAUAGCAUUAUAUAGUAAGUGGAACACAUCAUGCAACUAAUGCUAUUAAAACAUCCAUCCACUCGUGUGAACCAAAAUAUACUCACAUAUUCAUGAAGCCAGCAAACGCUUUUUCGAGUUACUCACGAGUUACGACCAAGAGAAAAACCAACUAGCUAGGAUUCAACGAGUUACCCGUGUUUACUCACGAGUUUACUCACUACAUGGCGUUAGGAAUCAACUAAAUUCGUACUUUAGCCAGAAAACCCAAGGACUAAAAUAUACUCAAUACCCUUGAUAUUUCCACUUUUAACAAGCAUCGAUAUUAAUUUUCAUAUUUUUUUAAUAUUUUAUAUUUAGUUUAUUUUCGGUCAAAUAUAUAGUUUUAUAUAACUUUGAUAAAAUUUUCAUAGAUAUUCGAUAUUUUCUCGAUAUAUCUAUUAGAAUUUUAUUUUUUUCCAACCAUCGAUAUUUUCACGAUUGCCGAUAUAUAUAUAUUUUUUUAACCUACCUGUUACAUGCUUGUUAAUUACCUGAAUGUAGCAAGGCACAUGUGCUGAGACUGAGACUGGAAUCACACGCAACGAUGCAACUAAACAUUACUUCUCUUGUCACAACUAGGAUUUCUAUUAUAUGUUAUGGAUUAGGGAGACACCAAGCCUUUGUUGGCUAAAAAGAGAAGGAUCUAUAACAUUCCUCUUACAAUUCUAUCCGCGGCAUUACUCUUCAAUUGUUCUUUAAGUAGUUGCACGUAUAUAUAUUGAUCAAUGAGAAAUUUUAAAUACACAUCCCUUACUUAAUACAUCACCUAUCAAGUUUUUCAUUUUAGUAUUAUACUUAAUACACAUCCCAAACUACCUAAAAUGUCCUUAAUUUAUGAAAUAUUAUAUUAUUUAAUAUAAUCAAUAUAUAUACUAUUUGGUACCUCUUUUUACAUAUUAUUUCAUCUAAUUUUUGCUAGAAAUUUUUGGUUAUCAUCGUUCAAUUUAUAAUCAAAUGAUUAUUGUUAUAUCUGAACUCUAAAUCACCAAUACAAGUUUUCAAAAUUCACAAGCUACUCUAAAUCACCAAUACAAGUUUUCAAAAUUCACAAGCCAAUAGAACUAACUGCAGAAGUACAGUAGCUAUUAAACAUAGAUAGCUAGUUAUUCGAUAAAACAUGUCAUGAUAAAGAUGCAGUACAUGACAAUAUGAUCUGCAAUAUCAAACUAAAGCUGAUACAGAUAAAAAAAAAAAAGACAACCCAAAUGAAUUAUGGAGAAAAAUUGGGGUUAGGAGAGAAGACGUGUUUUUGACGAUUUUAGGUUAGAAGAUGUUGAAAAGAAUACUUCUAUCGCGUAUUUUUUUUUAAUAAUAUAUGUUUGUUUUGGUCAUUUAGUUUACUUAUAAAAUCUUAAUAAAAACAUAAAAUAAUAGAGGUGUGUAUUAAGAGAUUAGAGAUGUGUAUUUAAAAUUUCUCUUAAUCAAUCUCUGUAAUGAUCAAUAAAAACAUAACAAAGUAACUGUUUGCUUCUUUUUGCCUACUUUUUUUUCUUUUCGUUUUGUAUAUGCAAGUUUGCACUUUACAAAUUUGGACCACAAUUCUAUGUGAUUGUUCAACCACUCUAUUCGUAUUUUGUAAAAAUCUAGGGCCUGGUGUUCACAAGGAGGAGGCAACGACGACAACUCCUCAGCCAGCUUUACAUCGUUGUCCACUAGUCGUCUUUAAUUGUUUUUCAUUUCAGCUAUCUGAUUAGGUCUUUUUAGCUCUUCAAUGGCGGCCCUGGUCUCUUUUCCGUUUUAAGAUCAUAUAAAAUCUUGGUCUUGUAAAGUUUCCUAGUACCAAAUUAGAGCUAUGUUUCCUAUAGCUAGGAUCCUUAUUUGGUCGGGGAUGUAAUUUAAGUUUUCUAGUUGAGAUAGGUUUCAAUUUUUUCAUCAAUUUCAUUUUGUUGCCAUUUACUUUUUCAUGUCCUUGUAUCAUUAGGAAUUAGGAUUGGAAUACGCAUAAUUAUAAAUAAAUGAAUAAAAAAUGCAAGUAAUACGCGUAGACAUAUAACCGCGUAGAAGAAAAACGUGUCACAAAGAGGGGUAGUAUCAAGGAGUAAAAUAUCUAAAAUAUCCUCGAUAUUUUCUCGAAAUUUCCGUUUUUUACAAUUACCGAUAUUAAUUUUCAUAUCUUUUCGAUAUUUUAUAUUUAGUCUAUUUUUAGUCGAAUAUACAACAUUUAGAUAAAAUUUGGUAAAAUUUCCAUCGAUAUUCGAUAUUAUCUCGAUAUAUCUAUCAAGAUUUCUUUUUUUCGAACUAUCGAAAUUUCCAUGAUCAUCGAUAUUUUACUCCUUCGGUUGUAUCGGUUGUAUCGCUUAUAAAGGAACAGAAGCACACACCGUCUUUCUCACUUCGCUCUCUCAUAAUUCCAUCCUUCUCAUAAUUCCAUCAUUCCCAAUGUCUCAAUCUUCGCAAACCCUAAUUUGAUCGUCGUUCCCAGUUUCUCAAUCCUUCGCAAACCCUAAUUCGGUCAUUGCUCUCGCUCUUUCAAUAAGCAGCAAGCUUCACCACCCCGAAAUGAUUUUCACUACCACAUCUUCGUCUCUAGCAACACGACCGGCGAGCCCAGCCGGAAAAGAAAGCUCUGGGAGGAUUAUCAUAUGAGCGUCGCGGUUCCCUGGAACGUGACGCGGACCUGCUACUGCUCAGACGAUCACACAAUGCCGAUCGUAGAUCUGGAUUCCCGGACGGCCAUGUUUGACGAUCUGGAGUAUCGGGUGUUCAUGAUGAUCGACGACGACUAUAUUGGCGUGGUGGAUAAGAUGAUAACCUGCAUUGGGCGCCUUAUUAAAUUUUACGAAGGCGUGUCGUUUGAUGCGAUUAACGAGAUGGUGCACCGAAUCCGACGCGUCGUAAUUGAUGAGGCUUAUCGGUCUGGGAGACCACGAAUGGAGAAAUUGAAUGUGAUGGUGACGCUGAAAAAUGAAACCGGGUUGACAUUGGAGGACUACGAAGCCGUGCUUCGGGAUAAUCAAGAGUCAGAGUAACCCCCACUCAGGGUUAGGGUCAUUUUUACCUAGGUAGAAUUGAUUUACUUAAAUUGUAUAAAUUUACCACUUUUUGUAUAGAUGCAUGAUAGAAUAGAAGUAGAACAGUAGUGAAAUUACAUCCAUGAAUAUAUAUUAGCUUUUAUUUGAAUACUACUUGCUCCAGUCCCCUUCUAUUGAGGGAUCCCUAUUUUUGGCCACUUUCUAGGGAUAGGGUAUUACACCACUUCCCAAUUGAAUUUUUAUAUCUCCACCGUUCAUAUCUUAGGUCUAUAUGAGUAGAUCACCUCUACAAAAUUUCAUAUGAUUUGGUGAUCGUUAAGACUUUCAAAAGUUUGAUUUAGUUUUAAUGAUUUUGAACGGUACAGCUUAUGUCAAACUAAAACCGUUGAAGGUCAUUAAAACUAAAUUGAAUUUUUGAAAGCCUUAACGAUCACCAAAUCAUAUGAAAUUUUGUAGAGGUGAUCUACUCAUAUAGACCUAAGAUAUGAACGGUGGAGAUGUAAAAUUAUAAUCGGGAAGUUGGUGUAAUGCCCUAUCCCUAUAAAUGACUUAAAAUAGGGAUCCCUCAUUGGAAGGGCCCUACUACUUGCUCAAUAUCUUUAUCAAAGACUUGGUGUACCAGACAUCGGUGUAGUGUUUCUUCUGUUAGUAGUGAACUAGUGAUACAUAUUACUUGCAUAGACUAUUUUGAUUCAAAGCUCGAACAAUAUCUAGUUUAUGUACAACAAAACUUCUGAAUGAAGAAUAUCACCUGUAUUAGAACCAAUCCAAUAUCCGUUCAAAAUAGUAUAUAUAUAACAAUGAAAUCAAAACGAAAUUGAAAAAUUAACAAUGAAAACAAACAACACUAACUUGAUUGAUCAGAUAGAGGCCUGCCUUGCAGUGACCUAAGACAGAAAUUCGUCCCCACUUGUGCUGCAGUUUCGGAUGUCUAUCUAGAGGAUACAACUAUCUGGUUCAAGUUCUUGCACAAGAACUUGACCCUGGCAAAUUUACUUUAUGCUUAAGAAGAAAUAGUUUUGGGGAGGAAGAAGAAGAAGAAUGAUUUGAUCAAAACAACGACAGAAGUCGUCUUUAUAUAAAAAUCAAUUUGAACAGGUAUAACUGUUCAGACAGACACAACUGCUCAGACAGUUGUAACUGUUUGGACAGUUAUGUCUUUUGAUAUUUAUCCAAAUUUAAUAAUUAAAUUAAAUAAUAUUAAUUUUCAAAAAAUUAAAUUCGGAUUUAAUCAACAGAGCCCAAUCUUUGACUUUUAUUAAAUAUAUUAAUAUAUAUAUAUUUAUUUAUUUAUUUCUAUUGGAAACCCAAUAGAAAGCCCACCAAGCCCAUACUAGACCUAUCAUCCAUUUAAUGAGUCACAUGAGUGUUUCCAUAUAAAGACUCACACAUUUAAUUCUUCUUCAAUGUGGGAUAAAUACCACACAAGUUCUAACAACUUGCAAUGAAACUUGUUCAAAUUAGAAUUAAGAAAGGAAAGAUAUUAUAUUUGGUGAGAGAUACUUUUGUAUAAGAAUGACAAUCAUGAAUAUUAUGCCUACAUAAAAUAAUGAGCAACAGCAGCUGAUCCAAACUAUCACUUAUGUGCAAUAUAUUAGCACACGGUUAGAUAAUAGACCUUCCCAAGCUCUUAUCUGUGUCUUCAUCAUCCUUGCCUUCGGCAAAAUGAAUGUCCCUGGUAAUUUUGAUUCAAGCAUCAACCAACUAGGCACGAAGAAAGGCAAUUCAGGGUCCUUAAUAUCAGCCUCUAAUUGCUUACAAGAGCAGCACUUAUGAAUCGGACAUGUGAAAGAUUCCUCCAGCAUAAUUCUGUUCUUAAGUUCUUUAUCAGAAACUCAAGUCUCAUAUUUUGCAACACAAUGAGGAUGAUAAAACUGACCACACCUUGGAAAAGUGCAAGGGAAGACCCAGUGGCAGACGCAGAAAGUCACGUAAGUGGGGGCAACAAAUUUGAGGCUAAGCAACAUAUAGAAACUGUUCAUUUCCUCUUCCUCUCCGAUCUCCAUUUUUGUAGCUCUUCGACUAGUUAAUCAAUAUACUAUUUUGGAAUAUAUUGAAGUUUUUUUUUCACUAAUCAUAUGAAAUCCUAAUUAGACACUAUAAAAUUGCAGGUUUUUCAUAUCAAACAUCUAAUAUGAACACAUCUAAACAGGCUCAUUGUUCCUUUUAUAGAGAAUAAAGGGAUUCUAAAUUCACUGUUCAUUAAUCUUUCAUUGAAAUGAAAACCCAGAUAAGUAAAAAAAAAAAAACAUGAAAAUUGAUCACCCAAUUAAUUUUGGGCUCCAUCCUUAUUUAAACACCCAGUUUUAAGCUUUUUGGUGUGAUCUACUGAUCCCAUAUAUAACAUAUUAUAUAUAUAUAUAUAUACACGUAGUAGUGGGAUACGGAACGUAAGGGAAAGUAAAUUAAAAAAACAAGACUUUAAGCGCCAGAUGUCAAAAGCUGAGUGAGGGCAGUGGCCCCCGCUGGCCCCCACCUGCGUCAGCCAUUGGGAAGACCUAAUACAGUUAACAUAAAUAAUUUAGUACUAACUUCAUUUUUGUGUGAUUCUGUUCUCACCAAUGUCUUCAUUGGUCCCGCAAAGGACGAACCAUGAACGGGGGCUUGGUCAUCUAUAUAUUAACUAGUCUGCAAACUCCUUUAUAUAGUAAUCAUAGGAAGUGGAUCGUAUUAUCAGAAACAUUGAGUGAUCAUAAGUGCAUUUCAGUUAUGAUAUCAUGUGGUAAUUUCAAAUUUGAUUCGUGAUGCCUUCGACUUGGGAAUUCAAUUUCAUUUGGUGGAUUAUUACCAUGUAAUAUAAGCUAGUUUUUUCGCUUUGCCGUCCGUGAUUGCAAGAACUUGAAAAUAAGAAAUUGUCUAUAGAUCGAGUACACCAUAGCAAUUCAUUUCAUCAAUCAUAAACCCUAAACAACAAUAUUGAUAAAAUUCAGAAAAUUACCAGAAAUGAAACCGAAAAACAAAACAAAUUUUGAUCCAGAAAUCUCGAUUACUAACCCUCAUUUCUCAGAAACUUCUUCAAAUGCAAGAUAAGUGGAGACGUUGAUGUCCUCAAAUGGAUUUCGAAGCAGAGAACCAUAGCCAUGGUUCUCGAUACUAGACAGAUCGAUCAAAGAUCUAGUGCCCAGCAAUAUCAUCCACAUUUCAACUCAUAAACAAUGUUCUUUCACAACCGCACCCACUUUACUGUAGUUAUCUUCAGGUAUAAUACACCGCAGCCGGAAGAUGCCUCCAUCCACCACCGGUAGAGACACCAGCUCGUUCCUUGUUUCACAGACAAAUCAACGGUCGAAAACUUGAGACUAAUCCCUUUUGCAAAUUCCACAGCUUGAGAAUUAUGAAACGACCAGCUUCUAUCCGACGGCAAGCAAAGGGCGGCGGCGUUAACCUUCGAAAGAGUAGGGCAUAUGAUCUGCUCGAAGGGCAAACUGGUGACUCGUACAAACCCUAGCCCUAAGAGAGCAGCCGCGAAUGUUUGUGGGACCUCGAAGGUGGCAGGAACCAUUGGCUUCUUGAAGAAUCUAGAAGCUCCUAGGUCGAAGUCGAGAGAGAAGUUGACGGCGUGAGGACGCAGACUCCGUUUGUGAUCUCGGCGGCAAAGUAGGUGGCUCGGUCUUUGAUUAUAAUGUGGUCUAGUUUUUGGAAUUUAGGGUUCAAGUUAAGAGAACGGGAAAUCACUGCGGUGAGGCUGUUUCAGAAUUUUUGAAAGUCGAGUUCGACGUACGUCAGCUAAUUUAAAGAUAUUAAAAAUUUAAAAUUAUACGAGGGUAAACGCCAUAUAAUUCUUAAACACAUCUUCAUAGAUUUAAUUAUUAAACACAUCUUUAUCAUGAAUCAAUUACUCUGAUAAGGAGGUGGAAGUCACACCCAUCUUAAUUCCUUGAUGUGUUAGUAAAUACCGAAUCCGGAAUUCUCCUGUCAUGAAAUCAAUUCCAUCAUUCUCAAUUUCAUUAUAGGUCAGUAAACGUGCCAUAAACUGUAAUUUAAAUUUGUUUUUGAAGAAUUAAAAAAAAUAUAUAUAUAGGUACAAUUAAAUGAUUAAUAUUAGCUGCGGCACUUGUUUGUAAUUUUCCUUUUUUUUUUCUCUAAAAAAAAACCGGCCCCCUCUACCAACAUCAGCAUAACUCAAGGCCUGAGCCACCCCUACCCCACCCCUACCGUCCUUGUUUACAACGAUGGAUUCCAAAGAAGCUAUCACCAGCCAAACCAACGUCGCUCUAGAGUUUACCAAGCAACUGUUUCUGACUGAAUUCAAGGGCAAGAACAUGGUGUUCUCCCCGCUUUCCCUCCACUUGGCUCUGAGCCUAAUAGCCUCUGGAACAAAAGGUCCUUGUCUAGAUGAGUUCCUCUCUUUCCUCAAGUCCAGAUCCACCCACCACCUCAACUCCUCGCCCAUGACAUCGUCAAUUUCGUUUUAGCCAAUGUAUCACCCAGCCGUCCUGAAAUUGAGGAAAGAUACGGUCCCGGUCCUCUUUUGUCCUUUGCCAAUGGCGUUUGGGUUGACAAGUCUCUUCCUUUCAAACCCUACUUCAAAAACGUAGUGGACACUGCUUACAUGGCGGCUCUAGAAGAAGUCGAUUUUAAGUCCAACCCGAAACAAGUGACUGUAGAAGUGAAUUCAUGGGUAGAGAAGGAGACUAACGGCCUCAUCAAAGAUAUUCUUCCUCCAGAUGCCGUCAACAACCUCACGAAGCUCAUCUUUGCAAAUGCUUUAUACUUCAAAGCAUAUUGGGUUAAGAAGUUUUCCAAAUUUUCGACUAGAAAACGUAACUUCUAUCUUCUGGAUGGGAGCUCGGUUGAAGGAGUUCUUUACAUGAGAGGCGGGGACUACCAAUAUAUAUGUGCCUUUGAAGGCUUCAAAGUCUUGAAGCUUCCUUACCGAAAUCUUGGAGUUUCGCCCUGGAGUUUCUUUAUGUACUUUUGCCUUCCGGAUGCAAGAGAUGGGCUGCCAGCUUUGGUAGAGCAAGUUUGUUCUGGAUCCAGAUUUUUGGAGGGCUGUGUUCCUGAUGAAGAGCUUUAUGUUGGUAAAAUGUUAGUCCCAAAGUUUAAGAUUUCUUCUGGUUUUGAAGCUUCAAAAGUCUUGAAAGCAUCAGGCUUGGUGUUGCCUUUCAGUUUUGAUCCUGUUAAUAAAGGAGGUAAUGUGAGUGAGAUGGUCGAGUCUCCCUCCGGUGACGAUCCAUAUGUAUCAGCAAUGUUUCAUAAGUCGUGUAUCGAAAUUGAUGAAGAAGGUACUGAAGCUUCAGCUGUGACUGCUCAAAUAUCUGGUGGGCGUGCUCCUCCUGUGGAAAUAGACUUCGUGGCGGAUCACCCUUUCAUGUUUUUCAACAGAGAAGACAGUACAGGAACGGUGUUGUUCAUGGGGACUGUGCUCAAUCCCCUUGCUGGCUGAUCCACGUUCACCCUGCUACUAGCUAUGUUUGUAUGUCUUUCCUGCUUGUACGUGUUUGUUUAUUUCGAUUAUUAAUUUCAUGCUUUUGUUUGUUGUUUAGCCAUCCUUUGUUCGGUACGGUGAACAUAAAUUAUGGAAUAUCAAGUAGUUUCUAUCAGAUUAAUGUCUGUAUUUAUGUUGGAAGUGGUGCUUUUUCAUUCCCUCGAUCUUUUUCUUACGAGUGGACUACUCUGAAGUCUGACCUCAGCAUAUGCUGACAUUGCUGAUUCUCAUGUGAGUUAUUUAGUUGACAUUUGUUCACUGAAAAUCUAUUCCUCACAUUGCAUGAGAUCUAAGAGAUCAAUGGCAACCAUUUCCUACGAUGCGAGGCCUAAUCUUCAAGCAACUACCAACCAUAGUACCUUUUAAAUUAGUUGUUUUAAUCAACUCAUUAAGGAUAGUUUAGGCAAAACAUAAUUUGGUGAAUUUCUUAAACGCCUGGCUUUAUAAUAGUAGAGAUAUGAGUAACUGCAAUUUGGAAUUUAGAAGAACAAUGUUAAUGCACGUUUGUUUCGCGGGAUAGGACUGGACUGGAGUAUCUUAUCUAAGAAAAUAACGCUGGUCCCGUGUUUGGCUGAAACAGGGACUCAAUUAAAUGAGCAUAGAGAGAGUCCCCGAAACAGCUUCACACCUCCUUCUUACAUAGAGAGCCCAAAAUUCAUACAGGCAUGUCUCUUUAACUUGUAUACUGCUAUUAGUUGUAGUUGUAGGAUAUUAUACUAAUCAUUGUUAGAAGUAUAGAACUUUGAUAAUUUGUGGGUUUGCUCAAAAUGGGCAAGGUGAAGAAGCUCUUAAUAUAUUUGGUGAGAUGAUUGAGGAGGAGAUGAAGCCUGACCAUAUAUAUCAGCUUUAUUGGGGUUCUCUUUGAUUGUAGUCAUGCAGGUCUAGUUGAUCAAGCUGAUGGAAUGAUGCCGUGGAGAUCAGUAAGCUAUAUCUUCUAGCUAAUGUAUACAGAUCAGUAGGCCGAUGGAAUGAUGCCAUGUGCCAAGCUGCUGCAAUAUAGAGGAGUUAAGAAGACUCAAAGAAAUUAAGCUCUUUAGUCCUUUCAGUACCAAACAUGGGUCAAGUGUUAGCAGAGAAUAAGCCAGGCUAGACUAGUCCAGGAUUGUCAGGACUGUCAAAGAAAUUAAGGUGAGCAUAGACAAUCCUGUGAAACAAACAUGCAGUUAAGGUUUUGUUGAAUAAUGUUUUUUUUAUUAAUAACUCACACACCUUACAUAUGUCAAUGAUGUUUUGUUGAAUAAUAUACAUAUGAGUAGUGUAAUAUUUUUGCUGAUGCUCUCUUCAAUUUCUUGACUAUCCCAAUGGGAACAAAUUGUUAGGCUCUCUCAUACUUCACAAUGUUUGGAAUUGGUUUCAUGGCCAACAUCAGAGGCUUAGAGUUUUGAUUUGGAAUUUAUUUAUUUAUUUUUGAAACAGGGUUUGGAAUCUAACCUAGCUGAGAGGCUCAGCCUCAUGCCUGGUUCCAUUUGAUUUGAAACUUUUGAACUGAAAUAAAAUUCCAAAACAUGAGAAAGGCAUCUCCAAUGGAGAUGUCAAAAUUUAUUGUCAAAUUCAAAAUUUGACAUGUGACAAGACAAAAAUAACAUUUGAUAAUUUGGCUAAUCUCAUCUUCAAUAGAGAUGUCAAAUUUGAAAAUUUACCAUACAUUAAACAAUUAUUUAAAGGAGUAAAUAUGGUGUGCAUAUAUAUUACUAUAGGAGAAACAUAAAGAGAGUGAAAAAAAAUAUUUCACAUUGCCUUUGAUCAAUGUAAAAUUUGACAUUUCCUUCCCUCAAUGCCAAUUACACUUGUCAAAUUUGACAUUGCCUAUUUGGUUGGAGGCCAUUGACAAUGCCAAAUUAGAGCCGUUAGGCUGAGGUGUCUAAAAUGCAUAUUCGGAUGGAGUUGUUUAAAACUGACCCCUGAUGGUGUUACUUGUGUAAGUUAUUUUUAAAAUUUUAAUUGUUUUCCAGAAAUUGGAAGUAAUUCCUUGAAUAACAAUGUUAGAUUGUAGGUCUUGUUGAAUAACAAUGUUUUCCAGACGGGAUUUUGCUGAUGCCGUCUUAAGUUUCUUCCAGUAUCCCAAUUUGAAACAAAUGCGGUUCCGCUAGUAUCUUGGGAGAUUUUCCAGACCUACCAAGGGACGAAAGACACCCAAGAUGGUGAUUUACAUGUAGGAAUAGAAUUGUUGGUCUUUCUUUCUCAUACUUUGCUUUGAUUGUAAUCGGCUGCAUUGAAGCCUAUUCGAAAUAAAGAAUGCCAAUACAUGUUGUUUCUUCCCGCAGUUGGUAUAUAUAUGAAGCUCGCUGAAAGAAAAUAGCUCUCUUGUUUUUUGUUUUGUUUUUAUAAGGUAAAUUACAACUGCGUGAGUCGAAUUCACAACCUCUCACUUACUAAAAGAGAGACUAUGUCACUAGACCAAAUGGUAAUGAGCUCCCUUAUCUUUCUCAUCUGAAUGGAAAAGAGAUUUCCCGUAAAAUUUUCCAAUGUUUGGUAACACACUGAAUAUUAGACAAGAUUGUUAAAAAUCCUGUAAUAAAUGCAGGAGUUUGGACAUAAAGGAGGAAAGUGAUUUAGAGUUUGGAAAGAAUCACACUUACCUUCCUAUUAUCCCUUAAUCCAGGAGAAUAUUUCCUUUCCUUUUGCAAAGCAGGAAGAUUUCACUUUUCGCGACCAAAAAAAGGUUGAAAGUACUCGAUAUGAAGAAAUCUCACUAUAAAAUAAAAGCAAUUAAGUAAAGGACCAAAUAGCUAAGGGUAGACAGAUAAACAGAGGUUUGACGAACUUUCAAAAUAGAAAGAAAAGUUUGUUGUUCGUCUUUCACAUUAAAAAAAUAAAUAAAUAAAUAAAAUAAAAUAAAAUAAUUCUACUAGUUUUCAAUAACAAAGAUAAUUAUUUAUAGUUAUAGACUCUACCUUUCCUAAUUUAAGCUCUUCAGAGCAAUUCUAUUUUCAUGUACUUUACAUUUCAGCUCUCGCACUGCAAUGUACCCUUCUUUCCCUAGCUAGUUGCUUACAUGCAUUUCAAGUCAUCAAGUCACCUUUCAUUGACACGGGUAUGGUAAAAAAGAACCGUCUCUCUACAAUGUUCCUCUCUUCUCAUUUCAUUCUAUGAUCCUACAUAUGUUUGCAACCAUAUUUAUAUGGAGCUGUAAUUAUAGACUUUACUUGAACCUACUUAACAGCUAAGCAACCAGUCUCUUCCACCCUGCUCCCAUCUCCAAAAGAAUUGACCUCAUUGUCCAGCUGUGAGGAGACUUCAGAAGCAGUGUCAUCAAUACUCAAGUUUGAAAUUUCACCACCAAGGGAAGUAGAGCCUUCAUCUUCGCUGCUGAUUGAUGUUGCAGGUGAUACAUCCGCAGGUGAUGGAGAUGCUUCCGAGCCAUCAACUGGUUGUUGCAGGCUCCAAAACAUAAUGCUGGCUGUUAGGGUCAGAAGCAUCUUCUGAUUCACCUGCCAUAAGAUCACACAUGUCAUAUGAACCAAAAUUAUAUGUCAAUGACAACCGCUACUACCACCAACAAUUUGUGUGUCUAGAACAAAUAAAUAAACAAUUGACCUUUGGCCACGAUUCACAUAAAUGACUCUUUGCUAUUCAAGAAAGUCAGAACUCAUAUGCAAGUGCAAUUUUGAUCUUUCCCACAAAUUGUCUGACUAUCUAACUCAUAAAUAGAAAAGAAUGGGAAAUGUUACUUCUUCAGGCUCCUAGAAUUAAAUGAGAUGAACGAACAAACCAAACAAUUAGAUUUGAAAGUUCGACCAAAAAAAAGAUUUGAAAGGUUUUCUUUUUACCUCCAUGAUGUCCUCAGGCAACAAGAAAAUGGAACAACCAAGCUUUCGCGCAACACUGACUAUGUAUGUAGCAUUUAACUUCUUUUCAUCAGCUAUUAUUUCACAAAAGAAAAGCAGACUUAUCUGAUCAGUACUUUCGUCCAAAUCGAGUUCUUUGUCAAUUGAAAACAAUAAUCCUGCAAAAAAUCUUACCACUAUCACCCUUGGUAACAAGGUUCCAAUUGACAACCCUAGGCUCCACAGCACUGAGAAGCUCAAGGAAGAAAAUCCCAUUCGACAGGCUCUUAUCCUGGAUAAAUCAAAGGUUUCAGAGCCAAAAGUUAUCAUCUAUGAAAUUUGAUCUCAACCAACUCAACUCAAAAUGCAGAUGCUUUGGUCUAUUUGAACCUUAAAACUCUCCAUUUGAGAAGUUCGGCCGGUGCUAUUAACUUUGUUGUUAGCCCACUUUAAAAUAUCUGUAUCUGUCAUCUCCUUUCCUCGAGAGUGAGAUCUUAGAUUCUUCAAGAGUUGAAGCAUAUUAAACCUCAUCAACUGCCAUAGAAAAGCUGAAACAGAGAAAAACACAAUAUUAGCAUUUAAUUCUCAAGCAACCAAGAAAUAGCAACACAAAAACAACCGACACUUGGAAACUCCAGUUGACAUAAAGAAACAAAACCAUGUUUCAUUAUUUUGGGAGUAUCAAACAAUUGCAGAAAAUUUUUGAGAAGAGAAAGAAGAAGAAGCUUUAAAGUUAGGUCAGCUGAAGAAAUAAACUUGUUAACCCAGAUUAUGCAACUCAUCAAUGGCUACAUCAGUGCGUAAACAUGUCUUCAAAAAUAAUGAAGCUGAAAUUUGUUAAUGAAAUAAAAAAAAAGCUAUUGAAGCCUGUAAAGGGAAAGGCAUUGACAGAGAAGUUGACAUCAUCAGGCAGAGUACAAAAUAAAUCGGUCUAGAUGUUAAACUCGAAAGUAACGCAGAUUGUAUUUGUUGGUACGCAAAUUGAUAAAUGUAGAACAUUACCGAGUAUGAGCUUCUUAUUUCCCUGCACAAUAUCAUUUCCAGCUACAUUCACCAGAGACAAUUUGAGCUGCUUCCCAAUCCUUACAACCUGAUUGCAAUUCUCUACUUUCCUAAAUGGCAUCUUGAUUGGUGGCCUUGAUGCUUGCUUCCAGUUAACUGAUCCUGGAGAAACCUUAUCAAGCACCUCUAAGAGAAUCCAUCUGCAUUCAAUACAUGCAAAUGUUACAAUUAGGAACCGAAAUGUUAUUUAGUUAAGGCCAUCAUUAUAUGUGUCCACAACUUAAGAAACUUGGCAUCGGCAUCUAUGCUUCUUGAAUUAUCACUCAACUUCAUAUAUUAUUAGCAACUUGACUACAAUACUCACCCAUUUAUAGAAUAUUUUCUUCUUGAAUACAUAACUUGAUAAGAAAUUCAAAUAUAGGUAUUGCCACUGUUCUGACUUAAAUGUGGAACACUCACCCAUUUCUCACAUCCUCAAAUACAUUAUUAACAUAAGUCGCAAUGCCUAGACUGUUGAUCCACAGCCUGAAGCAUCUCUCUUCUCGUGAUGUUUGAACAUCAUCUGUCAUCAUCUCUGCAAAAGAUAUCUUUUUGCUAUCUGUAGUGAGGCCAUUCCUGUACAAGGUGUACUCUUAAUCAACAAUUCAGUUGAGAAAAAUAGCCAAUUUGAUAUGAGUACACACAUAACACAGUUGUUAUCUCAAUAUUCCAAUGUCAAUUAAUUGCUCCCCUGUCAGAGAGUCUGGUCUCAUGGUCUCAAUUGCCACAACCUAACAAGAUCAAAAGUCCUAAAUGAUGACUGCUAAUUACUACAGAGAAAUGGUUCGACAAAUUUUGUUGACAAUUUAUCAUAUGCAGAAUUAACUAGUACGCCUAAGCUUACUCCAAUACUUCUUAACUUUGUCCCAGAUGAUAUAUGUUUCCCAAAACAAAGAAAGCACAAAGUUACCUUCUAAAACAAAAGAACUGCCUUUCAAAAAAAAAAGCAAAAAAAGAACUGAUAGUUACUGCGGACCUUUCGUGGAAGAUCUGUGCCACAAAUGCCAGAUUUAAGUUUGAAGAACCCUCAAGAAUGUCUUUUGGGGAUAAAUAUCUUUUGCAGUUCAUUCUCUCAGCAUGAUCAAGAACCAACUUUGCUCUUUCGUCAGGUUUGGCAUCCAAUGUGGCUGGAUUGCAGUGUUCUGGAGCAAGGACAUUAAGUAGGUACGCAUAAGCCUCUCCAUCCUGUACAUAAAUUACAAACAAGAAAAAUAUAAUCAGUUUAUACAAUUAUAUUCGAUAAUAUUUAUAACAUACCAAUAAAGCUGCUGCAGCUUACUGUUGGACUGAAGGAAGUGGGAGGUGCAUACUACACAAGACUAUAUAGAUUCAUUAAGAGUAGGUAAACUGGAACCACGUUCCCAUUUAAUUCAGCACUAGUCCUCUCAUGUGUUCUGUAUGUCUAUUAAAUCACAAGUUUUCAGGUGCUUAUAUGUUGCCAUGCUUUGUCCCAGAAUAGAACUUUGCACCAUAACUUCAGUUUAGACAUGCUAAUACAGAUAAUCUAGCAUGAUCCAUAUAUAGAUAUCCAUAUAUGACUCACUGAUAUAUCCUACCACUACGUAUGCCCUGGAAGUCAUAGUCAGUCUGCGACUUACAUGCUCCUAGAAUAUGCAGAAUGGAUGACGAUAAAUACCUUCAGAUCAGAAGAGAAGUUCGCAACUGCCUUCUUGUAGCCUGCUUUCUGGAGAUGGAAAUUCAUCCAUUUCAACAAGACCUUCUCAGGUGGUAAACUCAAAAGCUCUUCAACAUCCUGUGAGAUACCAGAACAUAACUUCAAUGUCCUUCCAAAAAGGACACAUAUACACAUUUAUAAAUAGAGCAACAUACCAUGGACUAAUAGGUACAAAAACAGAAAAGAAGAGAUGCUCAAACGCAUUACCUUGCUAUCAUCUACCAAUUCCACAAGCUGAGGAGUCUUCUUAAGGUUCAGAUCUGCCAACAGUUGGAUCUGAAAUUGCCAUAUUAAAUUCGUGCAAGAACAAAGGGGGAGGAAAUAGCUGAUUACUAUAGCAAGUACUGUUUCUCCAUCAAUACACUAGAGUAUGUGUCAAAACUUCAGUUGCUUACCUUUAUUAUUUGUGAAAUCAAUCCCAAUACCAGAUGAGGCUGCAAACAAACAACCAGACUGUAAAUUCUAAAACUUCAAAUAUAUCAUAUCAAACUAUUAUUAAAGCAAAAAUAAACAAAACAUACUCUUCCUUCAACGAGGUCUUGUGUGCCAAUAUUAACCACCGUGCAGCCAAUAGCCUUGGCAGAGUUGAGGCAAAGAGUAUGGUUUUCAUUCCUCUCCCAGGGGUUGAGGACUCGUUUGGUGUUAAUUGCUCUUUCAUCUAUUGUCCCAGGCACAGCAACAUUUAUAAGCUUACUGCAAUUAAACCAUUACAUGAAUAACGCAAGACAAAAUGAAACCUUUAUCUGAGGUAAAUAUGUAGACAAUAAUCAAGUAAGUCAAAUUUGUAUACCAUAAGAGAACUCCAUCUUUUGCAAGAUUGAAUAGAUCAUUUGUAGCUGGGUCCAAUGGGAGAAACUGCUGUAGAAAUGGGUCAUCCCCGAGAUAACUGUUUAUGUGAGCAACAUAAGAUGCUUUCUCUGAUUCACUGAUAGUGUGAAGUAGAGUAGUUGUGGAAGCCUUCAAGAAUGACCAAGAGUUUUUUGCACCACCAGAUUUUGCUGUUGUUUGACCUUGCAAAUUCAAGUAUGCCUGUGUAUUUGAUGCAACUAAUUAACAUGGUAUCUCCUAUAAAGCAACACAAUUUUACAUGAAAGCAAAUGACAUAACAUGUCACAUACUCCAGAUUCCAGAACAAUAAACCAAACAAAAAAAUUGUGUGUGUUUGCCCGCAUGUUUUAGAAUUAGAGAACAGAAAAUGACUCACCUUAAGGAAGGAUUCAAAGUCAAUUUCAGCACUCAAGUUAGAACCCAACCCACUUAAGAUGUUCCUAAUCUCCUCCUCAGUAUGCGUUUCUUUAAAUGCCUUUGAUGUCACCAUUAAAGCUGGCAAAUCUCCAGCAGUGACUAUGCCAUUCUGAUUCUUCACUGAAGUAAACUGACCGAAACAACAGCAGAGGAGCCAAAAUCACACAACGUCCUCUAAUAUCAUACUAUAACAACAUCCAAAUAAACUCCUACUUAAACAAUAAAUGAUCAAGGAACAGAAUAUACGUACUUUGGAAUGCAAACUGCGAAGCUCAACCUGCGUGAACUGGCUUUGAAGCAACUGAUCAGAAAUGAGAACCCCUGUAUAACUCGACAUCUCCACCAAUUGCCAAGCGGAGAUGAAACCUACUACACCCUGUUUAACUCCUCCUAAAAAUUCCGCAACUAAAGAACAUAACCCAGCACGGGUACUUUCAAAACCACUGUCAGGACCCGACUCCAAUCACAUCAAAUCUGCAAAGCGGUUGUCCUACUCUGCUCCUAAAUAUAGAUCAACAAAUGAUGCCAGAUUAGGGAGUGCAUUCAUCUAAAAUCACGAAACAUCAAUCGAAGAUGCCAAUCAAAGAUAUUAUACCAACAUUAGGACUAUGAAUUGCACCAAAACAUAGGGAACACAAGAUCAAAAACUUCCCAGAAAUGAAAAUACAUAGACUUUAUUUAUUUGCAAACAAAAUCAAGUUCUGAUGUAUUUCUUUCUUUGAAAAUUGUUGCGAUAACCAUGCAAAUCAAUGCAAUACUGAAAACUCAAUCAGAAAUUCGAUGAAUACACACACACAAGUUCCAAAUACAAUGAAACAGUAAACACACAACACAUGUGACAUACCAAACAUAAAUCAUGAACAGAAACAAAACCCAGCAACAUAAGAAUUACGAAAACCAAACCCAAAUCCAGAAAACGGAAGAAGUGGCCAAAGACCAAGAAGUACACACACCCACACCAGUAAUCAGUAAUUGAGUAAUGUCAAAGAGUAGUAAAUCGUUGCGUGCGCUUUCAUUCUGAAACACUUUGAGUUGACAAAAAUGAAAUAAAAAAUGAAUCGAAACCCAAUAAAGAAAGCGUGAAAACUACGCAAACCCAGAAACUGCAUACCUCUUAUCAAAAUCAACACCAUCCACUCAUGAAUAUGAAUUACUUUCUCUCGAAAUCUUGGAAUGCAGAGAACAAGAUGGGGUUGGGAGGAAGGGGAGGAUUAAGAGAGAGAAACGGGAUCGAGGUUUCUUCACGGGAGAGCAAAGUGAGAAACGGAGAGGUGGGAGGGGGAGUCGCUAAGACCAAAAAACCGAAGACAGCAGAGAGGUGACUGGCAGCGCAGCGGUUAAGGGUACGCGCGCGAUUAUGAGAAAGUGUGGUGGACUCGCUCUUGCUGUUGUCCAACGCGGUGUGUGUGGGUGUCAACUGUUUGGUUGUAUCUACGACUCUAUCGUCGUGGGGAUCGCUCUCUCACUUUUAUCUCUUUCUUUUUUGCGUCUCAUAUAUGGCGUCUGUUUAAUACAAAAUUUUUAGUUUUCUCAACAUGGGACUCACGCUCUCUCAUUUGCCAAAAAAAACAAAAUUGCAUAAGAGAUUGAUAUUUUUGUCUUUAUUUUUAUAUUUUUUAAGCACUGAUCAAUCUUAUUCAUAAAUCACAAUACUCAAAAAUAGAACGAUGAAUUACAUGUGUCAAACACCAUCUUUUUUGCCUCUCAUAUAUCAUGUAUGACGCCUGUUUAAUACAUCAAUUUUGAGUCUUCUCAACAUGGGAUUCACGCUCUCUCAUCUCAUGCCAAAAGAAAACAAAAUUGCAUAAGAGAUUCAUAUUUUUGUCUUUAUUUUUAUAUUCUUUAAGCAUUGAUCAAUGUCAUUCACAAAUCACAAUACUCAAAGAUAGAACGAUGAAUUACAUGUGUCAAGAACCGUCUGUUUUAAUGACACAUAAGUCUUUCGUUUGUUAGUGAAAGAUCGUGACUAUAUACCUGUUGUGGCAUAUCAAAUAAACAACUGAUCAGAAAAACAUUGUAAUACAUACUUUUUUAUUGCUAGAGUGACAUGCAAAGCAUAUAUUUUAUAUGAGAUAAGUACCAGUGAUAGAUGUAUCUAAAUUCUGAAACCUGUCUAGGCUAAUUAGAAGUGAUAUAGGCUAUUUUAUAUGGGAUAAGUACCAGUGAUCGAUGGCUCCAAAUUCUGAAAUCUGUCUAGGCUAAUUAGAAAUGCAAAAAAAAAGAAGUUAGAAUUUCUCGGUACAUAUUCUUUUCAUAUUUUAAGGUUCGGCACCCUAUGGGAGACUCGUCAGAGGAAAUUUAUUUUAAAGACACACUAACGAAAGUGUAGAACUAUAAGAGAUAACAUUUUAAAAUUUCUUUUCAAUUAAAUGCUAAAAGAAAAGUGGAAUAUUGAUCAACAAUGAAGAAAAUAUUUUAACCUAAGAAGGAAGGUGAAGAAAGUGGGAAGGAAGAAAAAACAUGCAAGGUAAUAUGUAGCUUAACAAAAGAAGAGAGGAAGGAUAUGUAAAGAAGAGAGGAAGGAUAUGUGUGUAGAUAACAAAAGUAGAGAGGAAGAAAAGAAGAAGUAUUUUACCAAAGAAUAAAAGAAGAAGAAAAUGUGGGAAAAACAGAUAAAAUCAUCCGAAUAUGCUUAUAAAAGUAGUCAAACCUUUAACAAGGAGAAAAAAAGGAUGGACAAAUUGCCUACUGAACCAUAGUUGCUAUGUUAACCUUUGGGUACUUGUUUAUUAUAUACUUGAUAAAUUUCUUGUUAUAUUAGGCUACAGCCUAGACAGCCCACCACAUGGAUUCGUCUUGUGAUAGUAGUAUCAUCCAUUCGACAUUUAAGUCUCGCUUAAUCAGGAUUAGACAUGAGAAUCCGGUGGUCUUGUGUGAAAGUUAAAAUGAAGCUCUACUGAAUGAAGCUUUAUUUAGUAUAUGAGAAUUAUUAGUACUACAUGCGUUUCUAUUUUAAGUUUCGUACAAGGCCGCUGAAUUCUCAUGUGCGGGUUGGUAUUUCAUGUUUGCAUCUAGGAGAGUAAAGAGCAGUGAGGUCUUGCUACUUACUAAAAUAAAAAAUCACGUUUGAACCUAAGACGUUGUUUGCAAAAGAACUAAGUUAAUUGCUUGUAGACCAAGUAGACCAAGAAUUAUUAUCUAUCAUAAUGCUUUUAAAACAUAUUUAAAAUGUAAACGCAAUCCUAAAUUGGGCUUGUCGGAUUAGGGGCCUUGUGCGGCCGCACAACUUGUACAUCCCAUGGUCUGCACAAACCAGAAUAUAACAAAGCGCAUUAAGUGCAUUAACCGAGACUAAGACCGUGUUUAGGUAUUACUUUGUUUUUUUAUAAAUAGCUCUUAUCUAAAACUUUUAUAUUUUAUAGAGUUUGGUAAAUUAAUGAAAAACAAUUUUUUUGUUUUAUGAAUAUUACAAGUAACUGGCACAAAUUUAUGUACGGUUGGAAUUUUGGGCUGAAGAUUCAGCUCCACUGAGUUGUACCAAAGCAACCUACGGUAUGGACAUAUGCAUACCGCACUUGAGCCGACCGUCGAUAUAGUACACCGACCUUAUACGAAUACAUACGCAACUUUUACCAAACCAAAUUAUAUUUUGGUAAGGGGCACGGCUAGGGGUUAAACCUUGAACCCCUUACGUAUAACCUCAGCUCCCUACCACUAGAGUAGAAGAUACUAGGGCGGCCCAAUUUGACGUAGUUGUGCUGUGAGUAGAAUUGUUUUUAAAUAUGGGGUGUGACUAGAAUAACUUUUGGAUAUGCUAUGAGGAAAAUCAGCCAAGUGUUUGGUAAACUGUUUUUAAAAGUGUUGUAAAGACCAAAUGUUUUUUUGAUGGAUAAUAAACAAAUUACAAAGAGAACCCUCGCUCACACCUGCCCCCAUAAAGAUCAAGCUGGAAGGCGGUAGCCGAGGAAAGAGGAAGAGAAGAAAUUCAUAGUUGAGGACUAGUACAAGAGUGUCCUAAUUUAGCUAGACUAUCAGGUAGAAAGUUUGCUUCUCUCCAAACAUGUUUAAAGGAAAUAGACUGAAAAUGGGAUGAUAAAACUUGGAUAUCUCGAACCAGCACUUUAAGGCGUCAUGAAAUCUAACAACGACCAUUGAGCGCAUCUAGGAGAAGCUUAGAGUCUCCUUCUACAAUAAUUGGUUGAGUAGUGUAGGUAGCAAGCAGCUGCAGGCCAGCAUGGAGAGCAACAGCCCAUACAUAUCUAGAAUGUUUGUUAAAUGAUUUGUAAGUAAAAAGUGUUUUCAGCAGGUAUAAUAACCAAGCUCAUACAUAUUAAAAAUGCAUAUGAUUUGGUUGACAUUUCAAGUAGUAAUAACUGAGGUAAAGUCGUCCGCCCUACCAUCACCUCGUCGAUUCCGACGAGUUCAAACCCUAAAACGAUGCUUCACGGUAACAUCGUCGUAUAUGGAACUGUCGAGGUAUUGUGAAUACGGAGACCUAGAAAGCUCUAGUGACUAGUGCAGGGCAAGAAACCAAGUAUCAUCUUCCUCUCAGAAACCCUAACAAAAAAAAAAACCACCACUGAAAACGUCACACAAAGAGAUUCACAGACUCCUUUUGUGUUCCUCAUGAAUCGAAUUCUCGAGACGUCGCCAUCAUGUGGAAUGAUGAAACACAUGUAGAGAUCAAUUUCAGUUCAGCAAAUCAUACUGACACCAUUGUAGGCAAACAUGGGUCGAGUUUAUGGUGUUUCACAGGGAUUUGACAUUACGUCUAAGGGAGGAUGCGAUCGCAUUUGGAAUCUAAUACGGUCACUCGAUGAUCAACAAUAUGCCCUACCAUGGAUCAUGACAGGAGAUUUCAAUGAAGUGAUAUGGAUAAGAGAUAAAUCGGGAGGCAAUCCUAGAGCUCUGAUAGCAAUGACAAAGUUCAGAAGAGCGAUGAUCUAUUCUGAUCUCACAGACAUGGGGUAUGUGGGCAGUAAGUUCACUUGGUAUGGCCUUUAUACCAAAGAAAGAUUAGAUCGUGGUUUUCAAUCCCAAGCUUGGAAAGAAAUGUUCCCAUGCAUGCAGCUGAGUUAUCACACUUCCACUUUCGGAGUCAGAUCAUUGUCCGCUAUUGAUUGAGGUGAGGAAUGAUAGAACACCAUAAAGACGCAGUAAAAAGCUCUUUAGAUUUGAUCAAAAUUGGUUCGGUACAGAGGACUGUUUGAAAAUCAUUCAACAAGAAUGGGCAAGGCCUUUGUCAGGCAAUGCUUUAGCACAACUGGGAAACACAUGCAGGGCUAUUUGAAACAUGCUUAUCACAUGUUUUCAUGCAAAUAAAACUAUUAGAAACCAACAGUGCAUAAUUAGUUUCUAGUAACCUUGAGUCAUCUUGUAGCCUUCUUUUGAGUGUUUAUGUUGGUUUUCUUGGCAUGGGUGCCAAAUGAAGAUCAAUAACAUCAUUAUGUUGGGCUUCAUUGUACCCAAAGACAUUUUUGAUAAAUCCCCUUUGCACGCUUGAUAGUGGCCUAAUGGGGUAAAUAAUGUCUUAAGAAAAGCGUUGCUAUAACGUGUCUUAGAAGCAUAAAUUUUCUCAUGAUCUAGACCCACUAAUUUGUUCUAACAUAACUUUCACUGAUUUGUUUGCUAUUCUUCAAUUGUGAGUGGUUUCAUUUUAACUUUAUAAGGGACUGAACUAGUAAACCACUUCUUGCUGCCUCUAGAAAUGAUGGUACCACAACUAACCCGCUUAUUGUAGAAGCUUUGAAUUUAAGAGAUGGUAUUCUUUGUGCCUAAUAGUAGGGUUUCAAGAGAUCAAAAGUUGAGGGAGAGUCCUAGUUGGUCAUUGAUGAUGUUGUUAAUAUUGGUGUUACUUAUUCCCCUUGGAGACUUCGUAAAAAUAUCGAUCCAUAUGAUAUAAUUAAGAACUUUUUCUUCCUUUUUUGAUGUAAUUUCUCUUAGACAUGUGUUUAGAGAAGUCAACUUCAUUGCUGAUGCUAUGGCUAAUCUCGCUCAUUCUUGUAGUAGUCUUAAUACUUGGACUAAUAGGUCGAGUUCAUAUAAAUGUUUGUAAAGGUUAUACUGAUAAUUAUUAUAAGAAAACGAGAAAUUUUUUUUUCCCCAAUUUAUACAUAUAGAGGUUCAAAAUUGUACUCCGAGAUAUUCUCCUCAUUUAUUAUGUUCAACACAUAUUAUGUUUAUUACUUAAUUAUUACGACAAUUCAUGUUAUACACAUAAAUUUAUAGACCUCCAAAACUACCACUACUACACAACUCAUUCCAUAGCUAAAUAGCCUAAAUUACAGGCUAUAAAAUGGUAAACUACCACUAAUAUAACAAAAAGAAUUAAAAUUUGUUUAGUCAUUUUGGUUUGAAGUCGACAUCUGUUUAGUCCUUAUGGUUUUAUUUUAAUCUGAAUAGUUCUUAAAGUCACGAUUUUUCAUCCAAAUAGUCAUUCUGUCAAUUUUCUCAGUUAAAUUGCUGACAUGGCCUUUAACUGAGAAAAUUGUCGAAAAGACUAUUUAGAUGAAAAAUCGUGACUUUAAGGACUAUUUAGAUUAAAAUAAAACUAUAAAGACUAAACAAUUUGGAUGAAAAAUCGUGACUUUAAGGACUAUUUAGAUUAAAAUAAAACUAUAAAGACUAAACAAAUUAAUGUCGACUUUAAAUUAGAAGAACUAUACAAUAUUUUACCCUAACAAAAAACAUGAGAUAAAAGAGGAUAAAGCGGCAAUGAGGGGGGUAAAACGGUGAGAGGUAAAGAGGAGUUUGGAUUAGGUAGGGAUAUGUAGGAAAUGAUAGAUUUCUUAUUGAAAUAUGGCAUGUACGUGUUUUGCCACUUAAUACCAUUAUAGACGGUGCAUUAAAAUUGGGUCGGGGUCACAACUUGGAGUAUACUAAUUAAUGUGAUAAUUUCUAUAAGUGAUAUGAAAGUUUAGAUAAUUUGGAUAUCAUUGGGUCGAUUUUCUCUUCUUAAUUAAUAUGGAAGACGAUAUCCUAAUGACUGCCACAAGGGGAAGCUUUCGGUUAAAAAAGAAAUUUGUUAAAGUUACUAUGUUUACAGAUUCCCUCAAUCAGUUUGCAAUCAUUGGAUAAAGAUUUAUAAAAGAGAACAUCCAAAAUAUUUCUAAAUUUGGUGAAAAACUGAGAUUUCUAUUCAAUACAGAAAAUACCUAAGCAAUACAUAGAACACCUAUAAAUAAAGCUCUAAAACUCACUGACGGACACUGACGGAAACAAAACAUAAACAAUGUCUUUGUUUAUAAAGAGCUCGAGCAUGGUUAUCGAAUGUGUGAGUUUAUUGUUGUUGGUAUUACUCAUCAACAAUGUUCAAGCUGCUCGGAUCCUUCAAGCUCCGAUGAAAACUUUCGAUGUAAACCAAUAUGGUGGUGUUGCAGAUGGAAAAACUGAUAACAGCAAGGUAUUUAUUCUCAUAUCUUAAUAACUCAUACUACAGAUUACGAUGAAAGUUUCAUUUUUAUGCAUUCAUGUUAAUUUUUCUUUUGCAGGCUUUUAUUGCUGCAUGGAAUGAAGCUUGCAAAAACAAUGGAGGUGGCGUGGUCUUAUUUCAGAAAGGGACAUAUUUAGUGAACCCUUUGAUGAUAGAAGGCUCUGCUUGCAAGGGGCCAAUGGAGGUGCAGAUCCAGGGCACCUUAUUGGCUUCAAAAGAGUACCAGUACUCGGUCGGUAUCGACCAUUGGAUCCUCUUCCGAUACGUCGCAAACUUGGUGAUAAGUGGUGGAGGGACGUUGGAUGGCCAAGGAGCCUCUGCUUGGCCCUAUAACGACUGCAUCAAAAACAAGCAAUGCAAGGCACUGCCUGGGGUAAGUUACUAUAUAUACUCGUUCAAUAUGUAAUUUCAUAUACCUAAUCAGUUAGGUCAUGCAUUGGAGCAGAAGUUCAGUACGUAAGGCUAACAAAUGAGGUAGAUAUAUAGUGCAAUUGCAGUUCAUCACUCUGCACAAGUUUUGCUCGCAUUAGAGAUUGCAAUCUCCCUCCACAUACUAAUUAUUUUGGUCUAAUUCAACAAAGUUCGUUCUAAAGACAUUUCUGGAUCAAAUUAGCAUGGUCUUAUGAUUUACGAUUUGUAUGAGAAUUCUCGAUCUACAUGAAAUCAAAUUGCAUGUAUGAGAAUUCUCUAAUAAGCUCGUAUAGGUGUUUAUAAAAACUUUUAUAUAGAUGCAUGUGCGUAUAUAUGCUAAUUGAUUGUGUUUCCCUUGGUUUCAGUCAUUGAAGUUCGACUUUGCCAAUAAUACAAAGAUCGAGAACAUAACAAGCCUCAACAGCAAGAACACCCACAUCAACUGUUUCGCAUGUCGUGAUGUGAUAUUCAGCAACAUUCACAUAACUGCCCCGGGCGACAGCCCCAACACCGAUGGAAUCAAGAUCGGUGAAUCAAGCAACAUCCAAAUACAUGAUUCAGUAAUAGCCACAGGAGAUGACUGCCUAGCUUUCCUUCCUGAUUCAAGAAACAUUUCCGUCACUCGUAUUCAUUGCGGACCUGGCCAUGGAAUCAGUCUUGGAAGCAUUUCCAGUAAAUCUAUUACUGGCUUGAGCGUAACGAAUUCGAGCUUGGUAGGUACUCAGAAUGGUGUUAGAAUCAAGACGAAGAGUCCCUCUCAACCAGGCAGUGUUUCAAAUGUUACAUUUCAACACAUUCAAAUGGAUAAGGUCGAUAACCCCAUAGUCAUUGAUCAACAAUAUUGCCCUGGUAGUGGUUGUACUGCCCCGGUAAGCAAUUAAACUGCUCAUCAUUUCUAUACUGCAGUUAACCGGGAGGAGUGAUUUUGGCCUCUAAAUUUAACUUACAGUACUUAAAUCACGUACUCUCUUUCAUUCACUGCAGAAAACUUCGGAGAUUCAGAUCACUGAUGUGAAGUACAUUGACAUUUGGGGUACUUCAAACACAGAAACUGCAGUUAAUUUCAAGUGUAGCGAAAAUAAACCUUGUACGAAGAUCGAGUUGAGGGAUAUCAACCUAAAUUACAGCGGAGGUCGACAGGCAAACGAAUCGUGUUUGAAUGCAAAAGGAGUAGCUUCCGGCAAAGAAUACCCUAAAUCUUACAGACCUAGUACGUACAGAUGACCUUCACAAGUACAGUAUAAUAACUCAUUUGAUCUUACUGUUCAUGAGAUUUAUGCAGUUAAUCGAUAAGCUGCAAUGUAAUCCUGCAUAAGUUCAAUGUCUUUGUCGGUAAGUACUACUUAGUUUUGUAUGUAAUAAGCACAGAUAUGAAAUAUGUGCAAAAAUAAAGUGAAUAUAUAACCAAAGAUCAUUAAACAUUGCUUCUGUUUUAUGCCUCGUAACAACAUAAAAAAGAUCGAUCACUUUCUUCCUUGAUCCUAUCCACUCACAACAUAAUGAAGAUGCAAUAUGAUAUUAACUCUAAGAUAGGGAUGUUAACUCAAUAAUUUCUCCUGAAAUAUUGUAACAUUCUUAUACAACAGAUCGUUUCUUACCCAAACUAGUUUUUGGGUAAGAAACUAGAAAAGAUGAAAUUUGAAGCAACAAGAAAUUUGACCAGAAAGUGAAGAAAAGGGAUAGAAGAUCGAUCAUGAUUGAUGAUGAUGAUGCUGUAUAAUUUUCAAGGAAAAAGUAAACACGUUCAUAUGAUUAUCUCUUUGAAUGGAAAUGGUGGAAAAAGCUACCAACGUAUAUAUAUACGCUUAGGCUUAGUUUGGUAUCGCAGCGAAAAUAAUCUGCUGUAAAAUAAAUCAACGAUUAAAAUAAACAGUAGUAAAUAAAAGCAAUUAUCUGUUUGGUAAUUUGUGCGUUUAAUAAGUUUUAGAUGAUAAAAAGCUAAUCAACACGUUUGGUAAUUUUUUCUGUGAAAGUACUGUAUGUGUGUAUAAUGACAAAUAUGCACAGGAUGCCAAACUUGUUCCUUGUAUUCUAUAUUUCUGGUAGUUCUGCGACAAAAAAAAAAAAAAAUUUUAAUUUGACAGGUUCCUUUGCCGCCACGUGUCGACCCUCUCAUCAUCUUUCUUGAUGAGCCAACCUCCGACCUCCGACUGCACCUCCGUCGGCGGCUAGAAGCUUGAUGUGCUGGGAGAGAGACUUAUGGUAUUUGACACAAAAGCCCUAACAGUUUUACCUUUAACAAGUAUUUUUACUGCUAACGGAAGUUAAAUGGAAUUCAAUAUGUGUGGACGAAAGCUGCCACGCGUCUCAGGACUUCUCUGGUGUACGGUACUGAGGCGUAGUCUAGCGCUUCCCGGAAAUGGUUCCAAAAUUCAGAGUCUACACGUUAUUGCUUAAACAAGCUAGUACUCGAUCUGGUUUAAACCGGUGACUCCUCGAUCAACUUUGAUUUGACUAAAUUUCUUGCUCUUUUGUGUAAUUGUGUUCCUCAUCUUACCAUUGCGUCACGCUUUGUAUAAGUGAUGUCAAUAAACUAGUCAGAGGUGUUUUUUCUUAUUUAAUGGAAGAUUUGGUGUGGUCUUAAUCAAGGUUCAUAGCAUCAAAUGCUAUUUGAUAUCAUGGAAAAGAUUGUGAUUAGUAAUGAUCAAUACUAGCUGUCAGUAUUAGUUCUGGUCUGUUGAUGAGGGGUCUAACAUAUCUAGAAGCAUGGAACAGUUCAUAUUAGACAAGGCCACGCAUGGGUACAUAUCAUUAUAGCAUUGGAACGUCAAAUAACUAUAGUGAUUAUUUGUGGUAUUUAACAUUAAUAUAGAACCAACGUAACAUAUGACAUUUCAGAAAAUUAGACCCUCUGUGCUACAGAUUUAGAAUGUACAGACUUAAAUAUGAUGGUGUUCGGGAAGUCGACAACGCUUGGCCUAGCAUAACCACUAGAUCUAUUGUAAGCUGUUAGAUUUAAGGUAAUGAAAAGAUAAAACACAAAAAAUAGUUUGCUUCUUCUUAUUUUGUCAAGACUUUAUUAAGCUUGAAACUUUGAAUUGCUUAAUGUUUAAUGUUAUUUUGUGUCCAAGUUGGUUUGAAAUUUUGGAAACCUGGAAUAUCUUUGCUUUCAUGGAAGUAUGUCUUAAAUUUCAGGCUAUUUUGAAUUGUUUAAUGCUUAAUGUUAUUUUGUGUCCAAGUUAGUUUAAAAUUUCGGAAACUUGGAUUAUCUUUGCUUUCAUGGACGUAUGUCUUAAAUUCCAGGCUUUCCGGAUCCCAAAAAAACCGAGAUCCGAUCCAAUUUUUUCGGAUCUGGAUCCAUUCGGAUAUUGUAUAUAAAACUGCAAAUCCGAUCCGAAAUAAUUAAAUAGUUCGGAUCACGGAUCCUAUUUUUUAAAAAAUGGAUCCAAUCCGAACACAGCCCUAAGUUAUUCACUUGUUGAUACUUAUAUGAUUGUUCGGUUUGGGAGGUAAAAUUGAUUGUUAUUUGAGAUUACAUCAAUUUUGUUUUCUACGUCAACUCUUGUAUAUUUCUUUCUUCUUUCGCAAAUAAAAGAUAAUGAAGAAAGUUAGAAACUUCCACACAAUACUCAUAUAUAGACAAUAGGAAAGAAGAAAAUUAAAAAUUGAAAUACCUCCAAUUAUAUGAUUCUUGUAUCCUACAGCUAAUGCAACAACAUCAACUUUGAUGAAAAAGUUCCCUUCAUUAGUAAAAGACUUGAAACCUACAUCAAGAUUUUCUCCCUAAGAAGUUGCCUGUCACAUAUCAUGAAGCAAAUGCAGAAUAAUAUUUGCAUAAGCAUGACCCAUGGAUCCCCUAAGCCAUUGCCUUUCUUGUCCACAACAUCACCCCAACGUCAUAGUGACUUCAUUCGCAGAGGUUUGAAUUUAGUAAAGUCCCUGGAGCUCAAGCAAAGAACAACGUCAUGCCCCAUGAUCCGGUUCUUUAUUGGCCGCCCACAACAUUUCACUUUGACCUUCCAUAAAGAAUACCAAUUGUCUCUAUCUCUCUCUGCUAGUACUAUAUAUACGGCACCAGAGAUCUUCCAUUGUCAUCACAUUUACACAAGUUUUUCAAAUUUUCAAUCAAAGUUUCUGAACAAGUACUAGUUGCUAUACUGUUGUUGAUCAUAUAAAUUAAGAAGAAUAUGUCUGGGACAGAAGUUUCACUCGGUUUUGAAGGACGAGCUGUGGUGAGCAAGUUCUUGGCCAGGCCUCAGCAUGAAGGAGUUGGUGCCAUUGUUAGAAGAAGCAUUGGGAGGUAAUUAGUCAUACCAUUAUAACUUAUAAGCAGAAAUAUUAGUCUCGUUUUCGACUUUUCGCUACCUGAAUGGAAGAUUGUUGAUUCAAUGCCUCAAUGGGUUGUUGUUACUGCGUUUGUGUAGGUUUGAUCUGGGAUACUUUGAUCCUUUUCUUGUUCUGGAUGAGUUCUCAGGUGGGUACCUCUCUGUUUUCCUCUGUUUCUUCAUGAAUGUAAUGGCAGUGCUAAAUUCUAAUGUAUAGAUGCUGAUACUGCCUUUGAUAUUUAUAUGUGCAGUUACAGCUCCUGCUGGUUUUCCUGAUCAUCCACACCGAGGUUUUUGUCACUGUACUUGUAAAUUGUAAUUAGCCUAUCUCGUUCAGAUUAAUGUGGUUUGGAUUCUGAUUUCUUUUUCUUGUUUUUCCAUUUGGAUUUUGACAGGGUUUGAGACAGUGACCUACAUGUUGCAGGUAUAUAAAGUAUUCAUGAUUGUCUAUAGUAUUGGGUUGUAAUUAGUCUUCAAGUGGUUAUUUGCUGUAAAUGUGUACAUCCAGCUAGCUUUCUUAUAAUAUCUGGUAACUUAAGGGUAGUUGGACAAGAAAUGAUACUUAAACCAUGCAUAUACUUAAUUUGAAAUUGUUUGGAUCAUCAGGGAGCCAUCACACAUGAAGAUUUUGAAGGGCACAAAGGGACGAUCGGAGCCGGCGAUGUGCAGUGGAUGACUGCAGGUAGAGGUAUCGUUCACUCGGAAAUGCCUGCAGCCCAAGGAACCCAAAAGGGUCUACAGUUGUGGAUAAACCUUUCCUCCAAACAUAAAAUGUAAGCAUCUUCUUCUUAAUUAUCUUCAUCUAAUAUCCACAUCUUUUCGAUCAUAUCUAACUUUUCGAUCUUAUAUCCAUAUCUUGACAGUUCAGUUUAUAUGUAUUUAUGAGUAGAUCAUUUCUGCAAAUUUUCAGCCAUAUUGAAAAUUCUUAAGACAUUCAUAAGUGUGAUUUACCAAUUAUGAACUUGAAUGAUUAAUAUUUGACAGGUUUGCUUCGUUUAUUAAUUUGAUCUAGUUUGUUACCUUAACGAACACCAAUUUGGCUGAAAAUUUGUAGAAAUGAUCUACUCAUAUAGACCUAAAAACUGAACGGAUAAGAUGUCAAAAUAUAAUCGAAAAAUAGGUUUUUAAAUCAUAAACAAAAAAAUCCUCAACUAGGCCUUAACUUAAAGGUCUCACUAAAAGAGCUCCCUUAUCUUCGUAUCGGAUAAAUGUGGCAUGUAUAUUUUGGAAUGAGCAUAGGCAAAUUUUCAAAGAGAUAUAUAGCAUAUGAUUGGCCUUCAUGCAUGGGAUAUAUGCUCAGCUGCUUUUGGGUGCACCAAGGGCACAUUUUGUGUAUGUGUUUGUCUUUGAAUCUACUAGCCGGAAAUAUCUAGCCUAGGGACCUUUAAAUAAAACUAUAUGACUUUGUACUCAUAUCAUAGUGGCCAAAGAAUCUUGUGUAAUAUAUCCUAUGCUAGUGCUGCUUCCUUUUCACUUUUGAAAACCUUAAGAAGUUUUGAUAACUAGAACUAACGCUUUCAUAGUGUAACAUCAUUAGCUUUCAAAACCAUUUCUCUUUUCAAAUUCCAAUCAAGUGGUAGUUUAGUACCCUUGCAGUUGAUUAAGCUUUUGUUAAUUAUAAAGAAUUGUGCAAUGUGUUUAACACAGGAUUGAGCCAAAAUACCAAGAAAUGGUGAGCAAGGACAUUGCAGAGGCUACAAAAGAUGGGAUCAAGGUUAGAGUGAUAGCAGGAGAAGCCUUGGGAACAAAGUCACCAAUUUACACAAGAACCCCAACCAUGUACUUGGACUUCACUCUCAAACCAGGAGCUCACCUUCAGCAACCAAUAUCAGUAUCAUGGAAUGCAUUUGUAUAUGUCUUGGAGGGGGAAGGUAUUUUUGGAACUUCAAAGUCUAUGCCAGUGGCAGGUCACCACCUUCUUGUUCUAGGAUCUGGGGAUGGAUUGGAGGCAUGGAACAAGUCUUCCAAGAACCUUAGGUUUAUAUUAGUUGGAGGCCAACCUUUGGGGGAGCCUGUAAAGCAACUUGGUCCCUUUGUGAUGAACACAGAUGAAGAGAUUGAUCAAACCAUUGAUGAUUUUGAAAAUUGUGUCAAUGGAUUUGAGAAGGCAACACACUGGAGAUCUGGAUCUGCACUGAACCUUGAUUUUUAGAUCUUGUUAAUUGUAUUAUUUGAGAGAUUAUCUAUUGAUUUAUUUUGGAAGAGGGAUUUAAAUGCUGUUAAACAAUAAGCAUGCAUGUACUGUUCAAACUUCAAAGUAUAUCUUCUUCUUUGUUGCUUAAAUUAAUCCACAAGAAACCCAGACAGUCAAAUUUGAUUAGCCAAAAACAAAAUUACAAUAGUCAAUGGCCUGUUAGCAAGUGGAAUUAUGGCACUCAGCUCUCCUAUAAAAGAUGGCAGCUGCAAUGUUUCAGAUACCACAGCUUCUCAAGAAAUGGCACAACUCAAGAACAAACUUGAAGACAAGGUGGCAAUAGUCACGGGUGGCGCCAGCGGCAUUGGUGAAGCCACCGCGCGCCACUUUGCAUUGUAUGGUGCACGCGCGGUGGUUAUCGCCGACGUCCAGGACCAGAAAGGUAAUGACGUCGCCGCUUCGAUAGGUCCUCACUGCACCUACGUCCGCUGCGACGUUACAGACGAGGAUCAAGUGAAGAGCCUGGUCGACUCAACUGUCCAGAUGCACGGCCGCCUGGACAUCAUGUUCAGCAACGCCGGAGUAUUCAGCUCGUCCGAGCAGACCGUGCUGGAGUUUGACUUAUCCAACUACGAGAAGCUCAUGGCGGUCAACGUACGUGGGAUGGCGGCGUGUCUGAAGCACGGGGCGAGGGCCAUGGUGGAAGGUAGAGUUAAGGGGAGCGUGAUAUGCACCGCGAGCGUUGCGGCCAAUACCGGAUUAGAGUAGUUCACAGAGUACAGCAUGUCGAAACACGCCAUUCUGGGUCUGAUCAGGUCGGCAAGUAUCCAGCUCGGCACGUAUGGGAUACGCGUUAACUGCGUCUCGCCGGGACCUGUUCAUACGCCACUCCUGAACUCGUUCCUUGCCUUCAACGCUGUGGAGAUAACCAAGUUAUCGGCGGCGUCAGGUGAUCGGCAUGAGAUUAUGUCGCCAGAUAAUGUGGCUAACGCAGUCGUGUUCUUGGCUUCUGACGAUUCUCAGUUUGUAUCCGGUCACAAUCUCGUCGUCGAGGGUGGGCUGAAAGCUUGAUAUGAAUCCCAAAUGAAUUGAACGAUUAUACUUUUCCUUCUUUCUUAUUAUUCAAGGAAAAUAGACAACAACACAAACCAAUUUCUAAUUAAACAUAUAGGUAAGCAGUGAUGUAUUCAAAAGCGUAUAAAAUUCAAAUUCAAGAUAAUGAUUUCUGAGGCAUACAAAUCAUUCUAGAACUAUUAUUGUGAAGGAUCCAUACCAUCAACAACAACAGAAACUAGGGCCUGAGAUCUACGGUAAUAUGCAAAUUUAAGGAGUAUAUAUUGUCGAACUUACUCCUAAAAUAAUGUUUGUGAUGCAUAGUAAAAAUUGUAACUAAUGGCCUAUUUGGACCAACGUACCCUGCGAAGUAAGAAGUAAAUCUCCCAAAAGAUAAUGAGAAAUUGAUCGAAUCAGUUGUUGAGGCUAACACGUGACAAGUGUAGUCUUGCAAUAUUAAGAAAAACGAAAAAAGAAGGGUUGAAGUGUUGAACAUAAAAGAACUCAAGACUAUUUAUUUUCUUUGGAUCAAAUGUUUACUCAGACUUGGGAACCAGGUCCUUUUUUGCAAUAUCAAAUGUUAUAAACUAAGAAAUGAGAGAGAUAGAAUGUAGGAGGAGAAAAAAGUGUAUAGUUCAUUCUCAUUAGACCAUUUAUAUAACACUAGUGUUUACAUCGUAAGGACAUAUAUAACUAAUGAGUAAUUAUGUGAACAACCAUAUAUAUAUAUAUAAUAUUUACAAAAAACGUCGAGUUCUGAUAAUAUUUAUGAAGUAGGGAAUGAGUACCCCAUAAUACAUUGAUGUGUUUACAUUGAUGUAAACACUGCAAAAGUAGCCAAACUUGUUCUUAUAUGCAAAAGCAGACACCUAUAUAUCCUAUCAACAAUUGCAUAAAGAGAUAAUAAUGUUGACUAACAAACAUUAUAAUUAUUAUGUAUUGGAAACUUCUGUAUACCGUUCGGUAUAGAAUACAUGCUAAUUAAUAUUCCAUGAUAAAAUCUCUUCAACCAACCACCACUCCUGUUCAGCCUCCCUUUAGUCAGAUAUAUGUUAUACAGAACGGUAUAGCACGCAAACCCUUAUGUAUUAGAGGGUACGCGAAGCAACAGCCCAUUGCGUCUUUGGAUCGUAACCGCAGGCUCUGCUUAGUUGGCUAGGUUUUUGGAGAGCGACUCUCUAGGGUAGCUAUUCGAGCUCGAUGCUUUUACACUGUUUACAGUUAGGCAAGUGUUGUUGAGGUAGUUGCAUGCAAUCGAUCCUCUAGGACAUGAUAGGCGCAGGGUGACGUUGAAAAUUAAGGUGACCUUUAGUAUGUCCUUGACAACCGUCCCUAGUCUUUUCAAGGACAAAUUUUUGCUCGAAGAUGGACUCCCAACUUCAAUCCAGCUCGGGCUCAACUGACCUCUCUGAUUGUGUGGGUGAGACUCCCUUUUCUUCCUAUUCAUUUGUGGAAUCGUGAUGAUCUGAUUUACAUUGCUUCCCAACAUGGUACAUACCUACAUUAAAAUUGACCCAGAAACUUUAGAAGGCACUAGAUCUAUGCAUGCUGGGGUUUGCAUUGACAUGAAGCUUGAACUAGCUUGGCUAGUGAAAUUCAUGUUUUUCCUGACCUUGAUGCGGAUGAGCUUUCUGUCAUUCAUCUUAACUAUGAAACACUACUUGAAUCAUGUUUCUAUUGUGGUUGUCUCGACCACCCUGUUGGUCAAUGUACUGAUCGAACUGCUCGACGUCACUUCAUCAUGGUUAAUCAUCUCAAUGGAGGAGCUGCUGCAUAUCCAUCAACAGUCACUCUUGAGGAAGAACUUUCCAAUAUGGUCCAGCCUGGAUUGAUGCUCAUUUUCCCCCAUGCAAGAACCCCCAAUGCUGACCCAAACAUGGUUCCUCCUCCUGAACCACAUGCUAUUAGACUAAAUGAUGCAACAACCAAAUACAUCCAGAUCAAAUCACAACAACAUGAACACACAUCUCAUAUCAGUAAGAUCAACAAGAUUAGAACACUAACUUGAUGACAGGUUCAUUGAGGUCGACAUCUUGCAAUAUCAGCUGCACUUAGAACCAAGCGUUAAGCCUUAUGCACUUCAACACUUAUAACGUUAGUAUGGGACUAAAGCUGAAUGUAAGCAUGUUGAGUAUAGGGGCUUCUCCUUGUAUAUAUAUCGGCCAGUUAACUAGAUAAGAGACUUAUCCCAUUAGGAGUCUAAUAUCUGCUUAAUAGUUAUCAAGAUAAUCUAAAACUUAUCAUAACUCCUAAGAUUAAUCAGGUAAUUAACAUAAUGAGUAUCCUACUUCUGUUAGGAGAUACAACCUUAACAGAUAACCAGAAAAUAGAGUUAUAUAUAGUCAUGUAUUUCUUGUUAUUUGUAUUUAGCCAAAUCAAUUGUAUUUAUCUUAAUGUUAAGGUCUAAUAUUUUCUAACAUUCUCCCACUAGACUUAACACAUACUACAUGACAACAAUUGAACCAAUAACUCAAGACAAACAACAAAUGAAGUGUGCACUGAAAUACACAAGAACUCAGAACUCAUUCAGCUUGGUCAAUUAAAGCAUAUAGUGCAGAAUUCAAGACCAUGUUGAUUUAGAAAAACCAGAUGAUUGAGAACCACUAACACCACACACAGUAACCACGUAAGCUGCAGUGAUAACUAGAGCAAAUCAAAGAUAAGUAUAUCUACCUGAAACAUCUUUUGCUCAUACCCCAAAUGAAUGAUUUCAUAUGAAAUCUCAGCAGAAAUUCUGAAACACCAUUGAGCUCAUGUUCUGCCUUUACUGAACUGCAAUUUCUUAAUGCAUGAAGGAGCUCACCUGAUAACACACAUAUUAUAUGAAAAUAUGUAAAUUUCAAAAUCGACACAAUGGAAUACAAUCUGAAAUACCUCAUUUUAUUAAUAUCUUGCUGAAUCAAAAUUACAAUCAAAUUUGAAACAGAAUGACUAAACAAGGAAACUAAUACACUAAUAUAAAAUUCUAACUUUGCAUAGCUCCCACUGAGCUCAUGAAUACAAAUUUUCCAAAACUCCCAUAUUCUUGGUAUGUUGCUGAAACUUCACAAUUGGCAAGGCUUUAGUAAAAGGGUAUGCAAACUGUGUUUCAGUAUCAAUAUCUAAAACACUAAUUUCACCACAUUUAACUCUUUGUCUCACACUGUAGAAUUCGAGAUCUAUAUGUUUGGAGUUAUUUGACCUUUUACUAUUUUUGCUGAAAAACACUAGAGCCUCAUUAUCACAGUAAAUUUUAAGUGCAUCUGAAACAAGUGAACUUAAGACUUCAGUAUACAACAAAAAAUUUCUAAUCCACAGUCCUUGACAGACUCCUUCAUAUGCAGCAAUAAAUUCAGCCUGCAUUGUGGAUGUUGAUAUGAGUUUUUGUUUUACAGUUUUCCAAGCUAUAGCCCCACCAGCAAGCAUAAAUACAUACCCAGAAGUAGACUUGUUAGAGUCUUGAAAGUUGCCAGCAAAAUCCGAGUCAGUAUAACCAACUAACUCAAGAUUAUUAACCUAUCUAUAAACCAAACUAUAACCUUUAGUUUUCUACAAAUACCUAAGCAUCUUUUUUCCUACAACCCAAUGCUCUUGUGUGGGAUUGGAUUGAAACCUAGAUAAGAUACCUACUGAAAAUGCCAAGUCAGGCCUGGUACAGGUCUGAGCAUACAUUAGGUGGCCAAUAAGUUGAGCAUAAGGUUUGCUCUCUAUGGCAACUAUCUUCCCCCUAUUUUUAGUAAUCUUAUUUCUGUUUUUGGUCAGUUUGUCUCCUUUUGAAAUAGGAGAGUCACCUAAUGCACAUGUUUCCAUAUUAAAUCUCUUAAGAACUUUUGUGAUAUAGUUCAAUUGAGAUAAACCUAAUAAACCUUGUGCUCUGUCCCUAAUUAUUUCAAUCCCUAAAACAUAAGACGCCUCACCUAAAAAACCCUAAAUCUUUCAUGUCAAAGUUACUUGGCAGAAAGUUUUUAGUUUCCUUAAGCAAUUUUACAUUGCUGCUAGCUAGAAGAAUAUCAUCUACAUACAGUAUUAGGAAAAUAAAAUUAUACCCAACUGUCUUAAUGUAUACACAUUCAUCGACAAUGUUUUCAACAAAGCCGAAGCUUGAAAUUACUGAAUCAAACUUCUUAUACUAUUGUCUAGAAGCUUGUUUUAAUCCAUAAAUGGAUUUCUUAAGUUUGCAUACAUAUUCUUCUUUCCCUGGCAUUACAAAACCUUCGGGCUGCCUUAUAUAGAUUGUUUCAUCUAACUCUCCAUUCAAAAACGCAGUAACGCAGUUUUUACAUCCAUUUGGUGUAAUUCCAUAUUAUAAUGUGCUACUAGAGCCAUUGUAAUUCUAAAUGAGUCUUUAGUUGAAACUGGAGAGAAAGUUUUUGUAUAGUCUAUGCCCUCCUUUUGUGUAAAACCCUUAGGAACUAGUCUGGCCUUAUGUCUUUCUAUAUUCCCUUUUGCAUCUCUUUUGGUUUUAUAGACCCAUUUACAGCCUAUUGGUUUUUGGUUUGGAUUUUGCUUUACUAAAUCCCAGACUGCAUUAUCACUCAUCGACUUCAUCUCAGCUUCCAUAGCUUCCUGCCAUUUCUCUACUUCUUCAGUUUUUAAAGCUUCUUUGUAACUCUUUGGAUCAUCAUCUUCAUCUAGUACAUCUGUUUCUUGCAAGUACACCACAUACUCACUAUCUUCCCCAUAAACUGGUUUUCUUUGUCUCUCAAAUCUUCUAGGUUGAGGAUUUUCAGCAAUUGGUUGGUCUACUGCAUUAGGUUGAUCAAAAACCAUGUCAUCUAUAGGUUCAGGUUGUAGAGGUUCAUCUACUUAAGGUUGUGUUGGUUCUGGCUCUAUUGGAUUUUGAUAUAGAAACUGAUUUUCUGUAAAUACAGUAGAAGCUCUAUGAGUUUGAUCUAAGGGUAUAUUGUACUGAAUGUCUUGAUCCUCAACAAUUUCUGUAAGUUCUGAAGAAAAAUCUUCAUAAACAUUGUUAUUAACACCUUCAUCUAGAAAUUUUGCCUGACUAGUUUCAAAAGUUCUAGUUGAGUUAUGAGGUGUAUAAAAUUUAUAUCCCUUAGAUUUUUCACAAUAGCCUAUGAAGUUAUAGCUGAUUGUUUUGGACUUUAACUUACCUGUUAACUCAUUUGGUAUUUUUGCCUCAGCUUUGCAUCCCCACACAUGAAUGUGAUGCAAACUGGGCUGUCUACCACACCAUAAUUCAAAUGGUGUCUUUUCUACUGAUUUGGAGGGUGACCUAUUGCAAACAUAGUUUGCAGUCUUAAGUAUCUCUCCCCAUAAGAAAACUGGUAAACAUGCAGUGCACAUCAUGCAUCUUACCAUGUUUAAUAAAGUCUUAUUCUUUCUCUCUGCUACUCCAUUUUGUUAGGGGUUAUAUUGGGAGUUGAAUACUACUCCAUUUUGUUGGGGGUUAUAGGGAGUUGAAUACUGAGUCUCAAUGCCAUUUUCCUGAAGGAACAAUGCAAAAUGUCCCUUAUGGUGGCCCGCUUCAGUAUGUCUACCAUAGUACUCUCCACCCCUAUCAGAUCUCACUACUUUAAUUUUCUUUUCAAGCUGUAAUUCUACUUUAGUUUUGUAAAUUAUGAAUGCUUGAAGAGCUUGUGAUUUUUCUGAUAACAUAUAGAUAUAGCAGUACCUAGAGAAAUCAUCUAUAAAGGUUAUGAAGUAAACAUUUCCACAUAUAGUUUUAUGCUUAAAAGGUCCACAAAUGUCUGUAUGAAUUAGUUCUAAGAGAUUCUAACUUCUAGUUGCCUUUUAAUUACUGAAUUUAGUCAUUUUUCCCUUACAACACUCCACACAAUCAGUCAUAUCAGAAUAGUCUAAAUCUGUAGGUAAAAGUUUAUUUUUCUAAAGUGUUUUGAGUCUUUCUUUUGAAAUGUGGCCUAGUCUCCUAUGCCACAAGUUUGCAGACUGCUGAUUAUAAAGGAUUUUGUUAGUUCUAGUGAUCUUAUUGCUGUGAUUCUUAAUGUUUUCAUUAUUUUCAAUUAACAGAAUUUUUUGUUGUGCAACAGAACAAUUUAAUUGCAAAUAAUCAUUAUUGAAAACACCACAACCAAUAUAUUCAGAAUCCUGAAAAAGCUUUAUUCCUUUCAUAUCAAUGGAAAGUCUACAACCAUACUUAACCAAAAGAGAAACAAAAAUUAAAUUCCUCUUGAGNNNNNNNNNNNNNNNNNNNNNNNNNNNNNNNNNNNNNNNNNNNNNNNNNNNNNNNNNNNNNNNNNNNNNNNNNNNNNNNNNNNNNNNNNNNNNNNNNNNNNNNNNNNNNNNNNNNNNNNNNNNNNNNNNNNNNNNNNNNNNNNNNNNNNNNNNNNNNNNNNNNNNNNNNNNNNNNNNNNNNNNNNNNNNNNNNNNNNNNNNNNNNNNNNNNNNNNNNNNNNNNNNNNNNNNNNNNNNNNNNNNNNNNNNNNNNNNNNNNNNNNNNNNNNNNNNNNNNNNNNNNNNNNNNNNNNNNNNNNNNNNNNNNNNNNNNNNNNNNNNNNNNNNNNNNNNNNNNNNNNNNNNNNNNNNNNNNNNNNNNNNNNNNNNNNNNNNNNNNNNNNNNNNNNNNNNNNNNNNNNNNNNNNNNNNNNNNNNNNNNNNNNNNNNNNNNNNNNNNNNNNNNNNNNNNNNNNNNNNNNNNNNNNNNNNNNNNNNNNNNNNNNNNNNNNNNNNNNNNNNNNNNNNNNNNNNNNNNNNNNNNNNNNNNNNNNNNNNNNNNNNNNNNNNNNNNNNNNNNNNNNNNNNNNNNNNNNNNNNNNNNNNNNNNNNNNNNNNNNNNNNNNNNNNNNNNNNNNNNNNNNNNNNNNNNNNNNNNNNNNNNNNNNNNNNNNNNNNNNNNNNNNNNNNNNNNNNNNNNNNNNNNNNNNNNNNNNNNNNNNNNNNNNNNNNNNNNNNNNNNNNNNNNNNNNNNNNNNNNNNNNNNNNNNNNNNNNNNNNNNNNNNNNNNNNNNNNNNNNNNNNNNNNNNNNNNNNNNNNNNNNNNNNNNNNNNNNNNNNNNNNNNNNNNNNNNNNNNNNNNNNNNNNNNNNNNNNNNNNNNNNNNNNNNNNNNNNNNNNNNNNNNNNNNNNNNNNNNNNNNNNNNNNNNNNNNNNNNNNNNNNNNNNNNNNNNNNNNNNNNNNNNNNNNNNNNNNNNNNNNNNNNNNNNNNNNNNNNNNNNNNNNNNNNNNNNNNNNNNNNNNNNNNNNNNNNNNNNNNNNNNNNNNNNNNNNNNNNNNNNNNNNNNNNNNNNNNNNNNNNNNNNNNNNNNNNNNNNNNNNNNNNNNNNNNNNNNNNNNNNNNNNNNNNNNNNNNNNNNNNNNNNNNNNNNNNNNNNNNNNNNNNNNNNNNNNNNNNNNNNNNNNNNNNNNNNNNNNNNNNNNNNNNNNNNNNNNNNNNNNNNNNNNNNNNNNNNNNNNNNNNNNNNNNNNNNNNNNNNNNNNNNNNNNNNNNNNNNNNNNNNNNNNNNNNNNNNNNNNNNNNNNNNNNNNNNNNNNNNNNNNNNNNNNNNNNNNNNNNNNNNNNNNNNNNNNNNNNNNNNNNNNCCGAACUCUGCAGACUGGGCAAUUUAAAACGAAGGGCCCAGGGGAAAACAUUUAAUAACGUUAGAGUGAGUGGACAAAAAUAAAAUAAUAAAUAAAAUAUUUAUGUUUCCCCAAAUUAAUUUCUAAGGAAAAAUCGAAUGCAUGCCGCAAGCGAUAAAACUUUUAUCCCAUAAAUGUCGAGCCUCUCAGGCUCUAUAAUAUAUGUAUGUAUUUACACACGUCCAUACUCCCUAUAUAAAUUCAUGGGUCUAUAUAGGGCUACUACGCUCGCGUCCAACGCUCACGUCACGCCUUAAUGCGGUGCUACACUACGCCAUUAAGGUGGACAGACGGAUGUAUAAAUAUGUGCCCAUACCCCCUAUAUGAAUUAAACACUCAUAUAGGGCUACUACGCUCACGUCACACCAUAAUGCGGCUAUAUGCUACGCCAUUAAGGUGGACAGACACAUAUGGCUAGCUAGCAUUUUCUAUACAUACUCUCUCAUAAAUACAUAUUUAUCUCCACCGAAAAUCUCAUUUUCGGUAUCUCUCCAAGAGAAAUAAAAAUCGUCAAAAAUUAAAAUGACGUCAAAAUACUCCACGACAUUAAUUGUUCAACCAUGAACUAUAGCAUGCAUUUAUUUAAAAUAAACGUCCACUCACAAAUUUGGCCUAAGCCUGAUGUCGAUCUGGGGCCUCGUCUGCUCGAGCCUCCUCACGUCCUGUUCCAAAUAUAAUAUUAAUUUCCCAACCAAUAAUCCAAUAUUUAAUCAAAAUAGGCAAAAUUACCCGAGAGCCAUAAAUACGCUCAUCAUUGCCUAACUUCGAUAAUCUUAAAUCGGAACAAUCCGAACUUAAAUAUCAUACUCAACAGUCGUAAAUACAACCUCUCCAAAAUACGACUUAAAUCAUACGGCCGGAUUCUACAUUAAUUAACCGCCAAAAAUACCAAACUUCGGAAAUUCACAAACCUAUCCAAAUCUCAUCCAAAAAUUCCAUAAAUCACAUCAAUAUACUCCUCUUAACAUUCCACACUUAAAACCCUAAAAAUCUCCUAACCGGCGGCGGCGCCGCCGGCGGCUCCGCCGGCAGCGGCGGUCGGAGGCCAAUUCCGGCGACCUCCAAAACCUAUGAAAUUUUGACAGAAUAAUCCUCUCAUCAAGCUCUACAACUUUC
rnacentral:lncRNA from 1 species